rnacentral:lncRNA from 1 species
UUAGAUUUACCCAACAUCUUUAUUGCUGCAAAUUUACCACUACGAAGUUUUCCUUUAUGCACAAAACCAAAGCCUCCUUCACCCAACUUUUCCUUGAAACCUCUAGUGAUCUUUCGAAUGUCUGAAUAAGAAUACCUUAUUGGCAUAAGGUUAUUGUGACUCUGGAGGAAUUCUUCAAUUGUUUCAUACCCAGAUAGAUGCCUUCUUCUCCAUUUAUAAAUAAGAAAUGCAAUCACACAUGGAGCCCCACAGAAAGCUCUUGCAACCAAACACAUUGCUGGAUAUAAUUAUGGGAUCAUAUUCAACAAAGAGAAACUAAUUAAUUAGUUAUUGGUUUAAAAUUUUGUCUAAGAAAUAUAAGAGAUAUGCUUCUAAAAACGUAAGAUAAAGUUAGCUAAGUUUCAUAUGUUGCAGAUUUUCAUGGUGUCUCUUCAUAUAAAUAGGUAACUUUGUCCCCUCAUAGAUUAAUGGAAGGAGUUCUUACCAAGACAAAUAACUGUGUUUCCAAGUAACCCUGUAUGAAGUGAAUGUAGAGAAAUUUAAUUACUAAUGUUGCUGCCCUUAAAUCAAGUAACAAUUAUUUAAACAUGAUUACAUAUUAUAUGAUCGGAGACAGAGAUCUUACAUAGGAUCAUAUCCAAGAAGUUAUCGUUCCCUUCAUUAAUUAAGAGGAAAACAAAUCAGUAUCAUACAUAUAUCUUAUUGAUUGCAUCAGAUAUAUAAUCAUAGAAAUAUAAUAUUUAUUCAAAUGCAAUAUUGAGUAAUAACUACUUACUAACUCUUCUAGUUUCUUUCCAUGAACAUUUUGUGCGUAUAUAUAUAUAUAAAACAAUAUGAUAUCUGAAAAUUAUAUUAUUGAUUCAAUUAAUUUGAAUUCACGCUGAAUAUGCUCAUUAAAAAGAUAAAACACUUGGAUUUAAAAGUUUUCUGUAUGCAAGACUCAAACUCGAAAUUUUUUAUUGAUUUCAUUUCUCAAAAUUUUUUAUUGAGGAAAAAAAAUGAAAUGAGAUUUCAUUUCUAUUUUGUGUUUAAAGGAAAAAAAUGAUAGAAAUAUUCUAUCGAAUAAAUAUAGGUCUCUUGUACUAAAAAAAAUAAACAAAAUACUUGAAUUAAAAUUAUUAACAAAUAAAUAAAGACUUAAUUAGCCUGUAAUUGAAUUUACUUACACUUUAAAUUAAUUUUAUUAGAAUAAAGUUAAAAUAUUGAGAAGCUAUUGCCGACUCAGUCUAGUAUUGCUUAACCUGGAGGACAACAAUUCUACAAAUAGUUGGAAAGACAAGAAAAUUUUGUCAUCCUGUAACAAAAUAAUAAUAUUUGCAGCACCUAAAUUCCACACUAUGCAUUUAAAUUUUCAGUAUUAAUUAGAUUUUCAAAAUUUUAAGGUCAUCUUUAUUAGAAAAGAUAUUUUCCAGUGCUGAAUUUUUCUAAAGCUUCAAACAUAAUAAAAUAUGAAAAAUAUUUUAUAUUUUUGUAUUAUAGAUAUAAUUAGAAUGGCGGAGAAAGAAUAUAUUAUUAAGAAAAGGAAAAAGACUAUCAGAGUAAUUUAUUAAUCAAAUAAAUUUGUGUGUGAAAGUAAACAAUUAUUAAUGAUAAAAUGGAUGAAAGCAUUACUUACACCGGUACAUGCAUCGUAACCGUUUUCUGCUGUCCAGAUAGCAACCACCAUCACAUUGUCCACAGUGGAUGUUGUGCCAGGAAAGCUGAAACCCAAAUGCAAGUUGCCUGUGAAUUUCAAGAAACGACAUGUUCUUCUUUGCCGGAAAUAAUGGAAACAAACUAAGCAUCUCCACGCUGCACAACUCCAUCAAAUCGUUUGCCUUCAUGUCUCCUAUAUUUACAUAAGAUGAGUUAAGACAAGGAGCUGUUUCCACGUAAGGAGGAGACUUCACUGGAUUUUGACACUUUAUGAACAUAAUCUGCUGCGAUAAAUCCGCCCUUUUGUAUUCUUCUGAUUCUGACCAUCGGUAUAUAUAAGUGGAAUAACUUUUCGACAGAUCGUAUAUAAAUGGAAAACGAGGAAUGGAGGAGCAAUUGUCUGGAUGGACGCCGGCAUCCACUAGUCGGAUAGUGAAGUUAUCGUAAUCGAUGGACUGAACAUAGUAUCUUCCACCGUUAAGAUUUAACACCGUCAAAUUGUUUUGACAAGAAAGCUCAUAUCUAUGGUGUCCGCAAUUCUUAGGAUCAGUUUGUAAUCGAAAAGGGUAACUGAUGUUGUGAUUAUUCCCACAUGAAGCUGCACAGUGACUUGAAUCCCUUCCGUUGCAAGUUUGGGAGAUGAGCAUGAAAACAAAGAUUACAAUUUCUCCAAUCAUGGAAUCAAGGUAGACAGAGAAUGACAGUGUCUGUGUUGAUUUUUCAUGAAAAAUUCAUCAGGCGGCUAUAGCCUAUUGCCAUUAAUCUAUUGUUGGUAGACACACAGACACAGUGCCAUUCACUUGCAAAAUGGUCCCUUUUUGACAUUUCAAACACUUGCAAGAAGUCAUCAAUAAGCUUAUCACCAUCACUGCUGUCUACAUCUUAGCCAGUCCAUGGCCUACGGCUUCUGCUUCGCUGUCUCCGUCUUUGCGACUUUGACGAUCCUAUUCCUAGUCUUUCAGUAUUUCUUCCAAGAGGAUCACAAGCUAAGCCUAAUAUUUCAUUGUUCCUUGUUACGAAAAGAUUAAAGGUUAAUUAUUAGGGUGUGACUCGAAAGUUUUAGUGUGUAUGUGUUUUUUCCUUUUUCAAUUUAAAUAUAAUUUAAGUGAAUUUUAUAAAAUAAUUAUAUAAAUAAUUUUUUUAUUGAUUUAGACUUUUAUUAUUUUCCAAAUUUUUAUUGAGAUUAUAAUCGAUGAUAUUAGUAAAUUAUUAUUGGCACUUCAUCAAUCAUCACUUGCGAUUACUGGUCCGCUUUUGACGUUUCAAAUUUAUAGUCUCUCUCGUUACUUGCAAGAAGUCAUCAAACUCAUUAUUAUCACUGUUUUCUACCUUUACUAAAUAAUUUUUAAAAUAAAAAAUUACUAUUUAAUUUUUAUAAUAUAAAAAAUUUAAUAAUUAAUUUUUUAAUUUUUAAAAAAUAUAUUAAAAUAUUUUUAUAAUUUUAAAAAAAUUUAUUAAUUAAUUCUUUCAUUAAAUUUUAACCGUUAAAUUAAAUAUUAUAAAAAUAUUAAAAAUAUUUUUUCAUAUGAAAUAAUUAUUUAAUAAAUAUUUUUAUAAAAUUAAAAGAUUAUCUAAUUAAUUUUUUCUUAUAAUGUAGAAGCUACAUAAUGAAAUAUUUAACUGUUAAAAUUUACGAAUCGUUAAUUAAUUUAUUUUUUAAUAAUUCAUAGAGAUAUUAAUAUAUUUUUUGAAAUCAAGAAAUUAUAUAUUUAUUUUUUUAUAUUAUAAAAAUUAAAUAAUAAAUUUUUCUUUUUAAAAUUAUAAAUGAUUUGAAAUAACAUUUAUGUUUUAAUUCUACGUUAUAUAAAAAAAUCAGUACAACAUAGACAUUGUGGGUUAUUUAUCUGACUUGUUGGUUUAUUUUAUUUUCACCCAACUAAAAUUAAGUAAGAGAGAAUAAUAAAUUAAAAAUUUAUUAUUAAUAAUUAUUUUAAAAAAAUUUAUUAUUUAGUUUCUAAAUUAUAAGAAAACUCAUUCCUCAAUUUUAAAAAAUAUAUUAAAAUAUUUCUGAUUUUUUAAAAUUCUACUAUAUAAUUUUUUCGUUAAUUUUAACCGCUAAAUUAAUUUCUUAAUUUUAUAAGAAAAUUAUUAACUAAUUAAUUUCUCUGUAUUGAGUUUGUAUUUUUUUAAUAAUAUUAACGAUUAAAAUUAAUGAAGAGAUUAAUUAUUAAAACUUUUGAAACCUAAAAAAUUUAAUAUAUUUUUAAAAUUAAAAAAAUAACUAGUGAAUUUUUUUAAAAUACAGCUUUAAAUGAAAAAAAAAAGAUAUAAGUCCAAUGAAAUUCAUGUAUUUCUAUUUAAUGAUCAAAUAAAAUGAAUUUAAAUUUUUUUAUCAAUUAAGUCCUUGUAUAUUUAUUCAAAGGCUAAAUAAGUACUUGUCUAAUAUAAUAUUAUUUUUUCAUAAUAAAAAUACUUUUUUAUAUAAUAAAAUUUUAUUUUUAAAAUUUAAAAAAUUAUUUACUAUUUUUAUAUAUUUUUUAAUUUUUAUGUUAAUUAAAAACUAAAAAUUUCAAAAGAUAAUAUUUUAUUAUUAAAAAAAUAAUAUUAUAUUAUAUCAAAACUUAUUUCAUUUAUUUUUUUAUUUUUUUAAAUGAGAAAAAAUAUAUUUUUAUUUAUUUUUAAUCUUUUUUAAUAAAAUUAUAAAAGGAUAAUAUGAUUAAAAGUAAUAAAACGUUAAAUCUCUCGAAUUGAGUGGAAUACAUUUAUCAUCUGAUUAAGAAUGCAAGUAUUUCAUAUUAUUUUUUGAAAAAAAUACACUUUAGUACAAUGUAUUUUCGUGCAUUUAAUAUCAAGAGUCUAAACUUUCUUUUCUUGCAAAUGAGGACCUGCACUUUCUCUUUUUGAAGUAAUCUGAGCGCAAAUAAUUAACGUUAUUCAAUUUUGUUAAUGUGGCACGAUGACAUUAUCUCUAUUUAAUGAUGUGAUGUUGAUGUGAAAUAAUAAUAUUAUUUUUAUGAUAGAAUGACAUACUAUAUACAUCAAUUUUAUGAAUGAUGUGACAUUUUACAUGAUUCUCUAUAUAAGCUAUUAUGACAUCAAUUAUUAUGUAAUCCUUAAGUAAAUUUUUUAUAUUAUAUUGUGAUAAUUUAGCAAUUACAUAAUAUUUUUUAUUAAUAAUUAAUGAAAGUUUUAAUGGUUGGGUAUAAUUAAUAAAAGUUUAAAAAUGCAUACAUAAAUUGACUAUUUUAAAGUAUAGAGUAAAAUUGUAAAAACUAUAAAGUAUAAGAUUUUUUCAGUAAUUAUUUCUAAAAGGAUUGUUUAUCGUUUUUUUAUCAUACUCUUCCAGUUUGUUUAUAUCUUAUUUAACCUUCAAGGUUUGGACUUUAUUUUAUAGGUAAUUGAGGAUAUUUAUUUUAAUUUUUUUCAUUGAAAAACCAUAUGACAAUUAGCAUCAUUAUAUGGAACUUACUUGUAAAUCCACAUCAUCAUCCUAGAUGAUGUGAUAUCAUAUGAAGAUGAUGUGGCAUGCCACAUUAUAAUAAAAUGCAUGGUACAUCAACAUUACAUGUUUAAAUGGAGAUGAUAUCAUCAUGCUACACCAAUGAAACUUAAUAUGUUUAGUUAAUUAUUUUUGUGACAUUGAAAAGAGAAAGUAUAUAUUCUCGUUUGUAACAAAAAAGUUUAGACUCUGAUACUAAACAUCUGAAAAUACAUAGUACUAAAAUUUAUCUCAAAAUUUUCAAAUUCAUGUAAAUACACUUGCUAUAAGAUUAAAUUUGUAAAUAUUUAAAAAUAAGAGUACCUCAUUUUUUUUACAUGGAAGGACUCACAUGACUCUAUAAUAAUUGAAAUCUUUAAUUUCAACUUAAAUAUUUUUUUGACAAAUCUUAUAUAGGGUUGUUACAAUAUAAAAAAAAAAAAUAAAUUGGUUCUGUUUAAAUUUUACAUAAAUUUUAGAGUUAAUAACAUAAAAAUUCUAUUUUUUAGAGUACCUCGAAUUAACUCACGUUUUAAAUUAUUUUUUUUCUGAAAUUCACACUGAUUAUUAUUAUAGUUUAAAAAAAAGUAUAAUUAAUAACAGAUUGAAAGUAAAAAAAUUACUAUUUAAGAAAAUAUAUUAAAAAUAAUUAUAAUUAUGUUAUUAUUUUGCAUUCACAGCUUAGUCUAGUGGUAAGUACAUAAUUAUUUUAUUAUUUUAUAUUAGUCUGAUGGUAAGUACAUCUGAGUAAAUCUGAGAGGAUUGACUCUCAAUCCUCAAUUUUCACUUAAAAAAAAUUAUUUUAUUAUUUUAUAUUUUAAAAAUAGAUCAUGUGAAAUAUAAUUUUAACCAAUUUUAUAUUUUAAAUUAGGAAACACAAUUUAUAUAUGUGGUUGAUAAUACACUUUUUUUUAAAUUACUAUAAUAAUUUUUUAAAAAAAAAUUAAGAAGUGGGUUGAUUUGAAAUUAAUUGGAAUAAAUUAAUGCAAUAAAUUAUUGAUAACACUAAAAAACUUAUAAUAAUAAUAUAAAUUAUUUUUUAAUAUUAUAAUUUUAAUUUUAAGAGAAAUAAUAAAAAAACUCACUAUAUUUAAAAAAUAUAUAUAAUUACACUUUAAAUUUUAAAAAUUUAUUAAUUAAACUAUAAAUUUUAAAAUUUUAACUAAUUGUAUUAUAAAUUUUGCUGCCAUGGUAAUAUAUAUCAAAUAAUAUGAUAAUUUAAUUAAUUUUUAGUAAAAAUUCUGAAAUUUAAAUGCAAUUAAAAUAAAUAUAAAAAUAUAAAUUUAAUUAAUGAAAUAUAAAAAGAUAAAAUUUAAUUACAAAUAAUAAAAAAAUAAAAUUUUUUUAUCAUUAACUCUAAAUUUUAUUAUAUAUUUCUAUCGUCUUCUUUUUCUUUUAGUCAAGUAUGGGGAUAGUUCAACAUAAGUCAUUAGUCAUGGAUUGAAAAUUAGCUCACUUUGACUUUUCAAACACCAGUCUCUCUUACAAAGUCACUACCUACCGACAAUGCUAUUCCUUAGGAUGAGAAAAGGAAAUGAAGGGAAAAUGUUCAUACAAACAAUCUAUAAUAUUCCUAUAAUUUUUGUCAUUUCAUUCUAAAUAUAUUUGUAAUCCGACCGUUUAUUAUAAAUAAUUUUAUAAAAAAAUUUAAUAAAAUUAUGAAAAAUUAUUUUAAAUAAAAAAAUUAAUUGAAUUAAAUUCUUAUAAAAUUUUUAAUUCAAAACUGAAGAAAUAUUCCAUUAAAAUAGAUUUCCAAAAACUACAUAUAAUGGUUAUAAAUUACAUAAUAAAAUGUUAACUAUUAUUUUUACCUUAAAAUUGGAUUAACAUUCCCUCUUUAAUUAGAAUAAAAUUUUGAGAAAAAAAUAUAAUUAAAUUCUUAUAAACUAUAUAUAAAUUUUUAUUUUUAAAUAAAAAUUUUUAUAAAUUAAAAGAAUUAAAAUUUCCCAAUAAAUAUAAAUUGAAUAAGGAGGAAAAAGAUAAGGAAGUGAAUGAAUUUUCAAAGAGUCGACGAUUUGUCCGAUAAAAUAAAUGAAUAUGAUGCAUUAAUAACCUAAAAAUAAAUAAAUAAAAAAUUAUUGAAGUAAAUUUCUCGCUGGGAGGGGUGGCUCUUCAUCAUUCAUCACUUUGCAAACUGGUCUACCUUUGACGUUUCAAAUUUGCAGUCUCUCUCAUUACUCGGAAGAAGUCAUCAAACUCAUUUAUCAUAGUUGCUUUUAACAUUUAUUAAAUAUUUACCUAAUUUGACAAACUAAUAAAGUAAAGAUAUUUGCACUCACAGACUUAAUCUGAUAGUAAGUGCAUCUGAAUAAAAUAUCAGGUUUUAUUCCCUAAUCCUCAAUUCUUAUUUCAAAAAAAAGUAAAGAUAUUUGUGUACAAAAAAAUAUAAAUCAUAUAUAAUUAAAAAAAUAUUUAAAUUAUUUUUUGACAAAAUAAAUUAUUUUAAAUGAAACUAAUAAAAAAUAAAAGCGAAAAAACAUCUUAAUAAUGAAAAUAAAAAAUUCAGUAUCAAAAAUAUAUUUGUUAUCAUUUAGGCAAUUAGAUGAGAAAUCAAAGUAAACAAAUUAAAGUCAUAACUCUGAAAUUUUUCAAAAAAAAAAAAAAGGGAAUGGCAAAUGCUCUCGCAUUUGACAAUAGCAACCAUGCUACCUCCAUGGAGGAGGAGGAUCUGAUUGACAGGAGUACAAGGAAAAAAGUAAAGAGUUGCCUGAUGAUGCUCCGGUUAACUACCUAGACGUGGAGGACCAAGAGGUUUUGAAUGGUGGGACAAUGAGGGAUGAUAAGGAGCCGGAGAAGCCUGAUCUCCCUAAAUCUUCUUUCAAAGACACGUUGUUGAAUCAACAUAUGGGAUUAGGGAUGCUUGUUUUGAUGAUGAUGCAAUGAGUGAAGCAUCAUGUGAAUCUGAUGAUGAGGGGGAUGCUACUUGCUCCUGGGUUAAAAUAACGCCAGAAGAAAAGAAUAGGCUCAGACAGCCUUGGUGAAACUCUUUGAUUCUUAAACUUUUGGGACGUUCGAUUAGUUAUGUUUAUUUAUCAAAAAGAAUCUCUGAGUUUUGACGUCCGAAGUCUCAUUUCAAUGUUAUAGCUCUUAAUAAUGGUUAUUUUUUUAGUAAAAUUCACUAGCAAGCAAGACUAUGAUCAUGCACUUUUGGGUGGACCUUGGAUGAUUGCUAAUCACUAUCUUACAAUAUGGCGAUGGCAUCCUGAGUUUGAUCCGUAUGCUGCUAAUGCUUUAGAACGACUUACAGACUUAUAGUCUGGGCCAGGAUUCCUUGCUUACCUAUUGAAUACUGCAAUGAUGAGUUCCUUUUGAGAAUUGGGAGCUUGCUCGGAAAACCUAUUAAGGUGGAUCGAAAUAUAAGUAUGGUGAGUAAAGGACACUACGCCAGGAUUUGCAUUGAGAUUAACAUGGAAAAACCCUUAGUGGCCAAAUUCAAGCUUCGCCGACAUGUCCACCUGGUGUGUUUCGGUUGCGGUUGAUAUGGCCAUGAAGCCGAGAAGUGCUCGGCGAGGGGAGGCUCUUGCAGUGCUGGUAAUCCUGCGGGGAAAGCCUAUGCUAAUGAUCCGAUUGAUUUGGAUAAGGACAAGGGAAGAGCAAUCCCUAAUAAUUCGAUGAUUGCCAAUUAUUAUGGGGAUUGGAUGCUUGUCAAAAAAGAUAAGAGGAAUUUCAAAAAAGUCUCUAACAAAGUCCUAGUCGACAAGGAGUCUUCUAAGGAGAAAUUUUCUACUAAGGAAAAAGGGACAAAACCUUUGACGGACAGUUCUAAUCGAUAUGCUGCUUUGGAGAUUAAUGAGCCAGCUCUUGUUGAGCCCAUAAGACUACCUCCCUCUAAUACUAUUGAUAAGGGCUCAUCCCGAGCUGGGCCGUCCUCUAGUGGCCCGCAAACUAAAAGAUUUGCCAGUAAAAACCCAGUGAGACCUGAUGCUGGAGAUACUGGGAUAGAUAUUACUUCUAUUCUUACCAAUUCUUCUUUAGUUUCGAAUAAAGUGGCUACUGUUCCUAAACCUAAAAGAGCUGCGGAGGAGACAGAACAUGUCCUUGUUUUUGGAGGAAAGAAAAUGCUUUGAUUUCUCGUACUAUUACCAACCGAGGUGUUUUUUCUAACCAUGACAACACUCAUGCAAAUGGUAACCUAGACAUUCCUAAUGCGGAGAAUUAAUUUACGCAUCCCUCUGCUCCUAAUAUUGACGAGAACCUGGAAACGAAUGUGAUUCAAGAGAUGGACAUUGUUCUGGAGACUCCCACUUGAGGGGGGUAAUGCUUUAGCCUCUCGUCUGGGGGGAGAGAUGGUCAAUUGAUGUCUUCGUGUCUUUGGUUUUGAUUGGAUUUUUUGCCAAUGGGGUUUUCUCUUACCAUUACUACUAUUAUUUUAAUGAUAGUUAUUUCUUGGAACUAUUAAGGUGCCGCCUCCCCUACCUUUCGAAGCGCUUUCUCGGAAUACAAGAGACUCUUUAAACCUGUCAUCUUCUGCAUUAUGGAGCCUAAGGUGAGUGGCACUCAGGAAGAUGCUAUUUGUGGUAGGUUGGGUUUUGAUAAUUGGAUUCGAGUUGAAUCUCUGGAUUUCAGUGGCGGUAUUUGGAUUUUCUGGACUGAAAAUAACUUCAGCAUUCAGCUUAUUGAAUCUCAUCCUCAGUUUGUUGCUUGUAAAGUUCUGCCUGUGUCUGGUGUUUUUUGGAACCUAUGCUUUAUUUAUGCUAGCCUCUAUAGCCCAUGCAGACGUAUCUUGUGGACCGACUUGAAGCUUGACUAUGUUUAUUUGAGUGAUGAAUGGAUGGCUUUGGGUGAUUUUAAUUGUGUCCCUUUCCAAUCUGAGCUUUAGGGAUACAGUACGUUUAAUAUUUCAGGAGCGAAACUUUUUUCGGAUUGGAUUUUUUAUAAUGGUUUGCUGGAUAUGGGUUUUGAAAGCUCGACUUUUACUUAGUCCAGGGGUCUGUCUUCUCAUUCCCUCCAAAGGGCUCGGCUUGAUAGAGCCCUCUGCUCCCCUAAUUGGCAAUUUCGUUUUCCACAUGCUUAUGUUACUCAUCCUGCCAAAUUUCAUUCGGAUCAUUGUCCUCUGGUGGUUUCUUUGAACAGACAUGUGCACCAUAUGGAGGGUCCUUUUCGUUUUCAGCUUGCAUGGAUGAACCAUGCAGAUUUGGGGAUGAUUAUUGGUAAUGCUUUAAAUUUAUUAAGAAUUUGGCUUUGAAUUUACGCCUUUGGAAUCAAAAUUCUUUUAGUAAUUGAUAGCGGUUGUCGAAGCCGUCAAAAAUAAACCUAUUAAUCAAUCAACAAAUAAAUUUGUAGAUAGUGGCAAUAGGGUCGAACCACAGGGAUUUGACACUACGGAUUUGACACUACGGAUUUUCCUAAUAAUGAUUUGGACAAGUAAAUAACAAACAAAUAAAAACAAAUAAAAGGAGGGGGUUUUGUUUUGAUGAUUAAAACUAAAUAGCAAGAGAAAGCAAUAAUUUAAAUAGAUGAGAAUUUCAAUAGGAGAAGGAUUUUAGUUGAAGCAUGGAUCUAUUUCAGUUUGUUUAGAAUUGAUCAUUGACUCUUUUUGAUAUUCCUAUUUAUUUCAAUAAAUUAGUUUAGGAUGUGGAAGACGCUUCUCACGAUCCAAAUUUCUCCUUAGUUUUAGUAUGAUUAGGAAACGUUCACUAAUCAAACACUAGUUAACAAGUUGCCAAGGAACGUCCUGGGGAAUUUUUACUUUUCAACUGUUAACUGCCUUAAGACUUAGAGAAACCUAAUUCUAACCUUGACAACCGCGUGGUCAAGUUUAGAUUAUGCAACUGAUUAUAUUUGAGUUUAAUUGACCUUGAAAAGGCUUAUGACUGUCUCAACUGGGAGUUUAUUGGGUGGGUCCUUAAGGAAUAUGGUUUCUCAGAUUCUUGGAUUGAAAAUAUUUUAAAAUGUGUCACCUUUGCCUCCAUGUCUGUUUUGUGGAAUGAUUCUAGAUCAGAUAAGUUUUUUCCUUUCAGGGGUAUUUGACAAGGUGAUGGGUUGUCGCCGUACUUGUUUGUCAUGUGUAUUGAAUAUUUGGCUUGUCUUAUCCAACAAUCUGUCUGGGAUGGGUUUUGGAAGCCGAUUCCUCUAUCUAGGUGGGGCCCUCUUAUCUCUCAUAUGAUGUUCGCCGAUGACAUGGUUUUAUUCGCUGAAGCAAGUUUGGAGCAGCUUCAACAUAUUAUGGCUAUUUUGGAAGUUUUCUCGGCUGUUUCGGGGCAAAAUGUUAAUAUUACAAAAUCUAGCCUUUAUGUCUCUCUCAAUGUAUCUACCUCUUUGGCUACUUCUCUGGCUAGCUUUUGCGGUUUCACUUUAACGAAGGAUUUGGAAAGUUAUUUGGGGGUUCCCACUAUGCAUGAAUGUAUUAAUAAGGGCACUUUCCGCUAUAUUCUUGACGGCAUGAAAAAAAGACUUGAGGGUUGGAGGGCUAAAACCUUUUCCAUGGCGAGUCAUACUACUUUGGUGAAAUCUAUGCUAUCUUCUUUGCCUAUAUACCCUAUGCAAUUUAACUUGCUGCCAGUUUCUCUUUGCAAGGAAAUGGAACAAGUGUGCAGAGACUUCAUUUGGCAAGGUAGUAAUCAAUCCCCUAAAGUUCACUUAGUUGCUUGGGAUAUUUUAAAAUGUCCUAGAGAUCAUGGGGGCUUGGGGAUUCGUGACUUUUCUACUAUGAAUAAAGCUCUUUUGGGAAAAUUGGCUUGGCGGACUAUGGAGAAUGAUGAUUGCCUUUGGACUAAGUAUUUCAUUAAAAAAUACUUACAGGGCAGAUCCCAAUGGACCCCUAAUGCUGCAGCCUCCUCAUCUCAUAUCUGGAAAGCCUUUUGCAAAGGUUAUGGGAGUAUUAAGGAUGGUCUUAUGGUGGAUGUUAGAAAUGGAUCCUCUACGAAUUUUUGGUUCGAUUCCGGGCUUUUCAUAGGGCCUCUUGCCCAAUUUGCUUUGAUUCCCGUUGAUGACUCGAUGGCUACUGUUAGUGUGCGGCAUUUUUGGUCUCCAUUAACAGGUUGGAAUUGGGAUGUUUUGAAAGAUUUGCUUUCGGAUAAUAUUUUGCAAUUUAUUCAGCCGAUUUGCCUUUCUAAUGUUGCUGCAAAUAUUGACUCCUUGUCGUGGAAGUGGAGUUCUAAGGGCAAUUUUACCGUUCGCUCAGCUUAUAAUACUCUCCAUGGAAUUAAUAGUGGUCAUGGAAAUCCUCUAUGGAAGAUGAUUUGGACACUUAAAAUCCCUCAAAGAGUAUCUAUGUUUCUUUGGCAGGUUGCCCACAAGAAGAUUAUGACAAAUACGGAAAGAAUUAGAAGGGGUUUCACCUCUCAAGGUAUUUGUUCUAUAUGUAAUCUUGGCCAGGAGGAUAUCUUCCACUUACUUAGGGAUUGUAGAGAUGCGAAUAAUUUUUGGAUUAGUAUUGAUGCCUCUAGUUUCUAUUUCCAUUUUUUCACCAUUGUCGACUCUACUGAAUGGAUUUUUGCUAAUUUAAAGUCUAACUACACCUAAAUGGAUGGACAACAAUGGAACAUUAUUUUUCCUUUAGGACUCUAGUACUUAUAAAAAAGAAGAAAUAAGGUGAUCUUUGAGAGUCCUGCGCAGAACUCGCCUAUGUCCAAGCAUUUUAUUUUACAGGCUCUUGAGAAUACUAAAGCUUGGAAACAUGCUUCAGGAGUAGGCCAUACUAUUUCUAGAUCGUCCACCACCUUCAUUUCAUGGUCCCCUCCUGCUAUGGGAUGGAUUGCUAUAAAUACAGAUGGUACAGCUAAGAGUUAUCCAGGACCUGCGGGUUGUGCUGGGGUUUUUAGAGAUAGUAAUGGUGAUUGGAUUCUUGGCUAUCAAUCUGCCUUGGGUACUUGUACAGCAAUUGAAGCUGAGCUUUAGGGCAUUCUUCUGGGCCUUCGGACAGCGUGAGAUAGAGGAUGAAAAUUUGUGCAGGUUCAAACUGAUUCACAGGUGGCCAUGCAAUUAAUUGAUAAAAGCAUAAAUGGAGCAGGCCGAGUUAGGAAUCUAGUUUAUGAGAUUACGACUUUGGUGGGUUAUGCACGGGAAGUUUAUUUCAAGAACAUCUUUCGCGAGGCUAACUCUGUGGCUGAUUGCUUAGCGAAAUCGUCAAUUGGAGGCUUUCUUGGGAUGCAAAUUCUGGAAACGCCUUCUAUGGAGGCUCGUUAUUACUUGCAAGCUGAUGGGGUUAUAUGGCCUCAUGGCUUUACUAUGUAAAAAAGUAAACAAAUUAAAAUUAAAAGAAAUUUAACUAAAUCAUCCCUAAAAAAAUUUACUCAUUUUUUAUUUUGAUCCAUGACAAACUAUAUAUAUAUAUAUAUAUAUAUAUAUCUUAAGUCAAGUGUUUCUCUUCUUAGAUUGAUCUCUCAUAUGAACCCAUAUUAAUUGAUAAUAGCUACUUUAUAAAAAAAUCUAGAUAUAAAAAAUAAACGUAUUUUUCUUAGAGAGACAUGUCUCUCCAAGAAAGAUGUGUGUAGCCUACCUCCAAUAGCGAGAGACCCACACUACGAGAGAUUGGUCAUCUCCUUAUAAUUAGUCAUCGGUUGAAAACUAAUCCAUUUAUGCAAUCUCUUUCAGGAACUCACCACCAAUACUGCUUAUCCCUUAGGAUGGGAAAGGAAACGAAGGAGAAAAGUCAUAUGAACAAUAGAUAAAAUUUUCAUUCAUAAUCAUUCAAUUUUGAGUUCUUUUCGUUUCUAUCACUCAAUCUUAAUUUAUUUCGAUAAAAUCACUUAAUUUUAAUUUUAUUUCAACAGAAAUCAUUGUGACUUGCUAUAGCAGAUUUCUAAGUUAUCAAGCCCUCUAUCAAUUAUUCCUUGGUUCUCACCUUAUUUGUAUUUAAUUAAUUAAUAAUUAUUUAUUAAUAAGAUUAUAUUAUUUUUAAUAAAUUUAUUCUUAAAUUUAUAAUAAAUUAUAUGAUAUAUUAAUUUGCUAUUUAAUUUGAACUUUUCUAAAUUUUUUUAUUUCAAAUUGGUGCAUAUUUAUUCAAAUUUAAGGAAAUCUUAUUAGUAAUAUGCCCUGUAAUUUGAUAUUAUUAUUCAUGUAUUUUAAAUAUUUAAAUACGUUUUUAUAAAAACUGUUAUUUAUUUUUAAUGUUAAUUUAAUUGAAUUUCGAGUAAAGAUAAAAUUCAUGAAUUUAUAUUAAUGUGCAAAACAAAUUAUAAUGUGAUCAUAAUUGUGAAAUUUCACUUGCAUUUAAGUUAUAAUAUCUCCAAAUAUUCCUAGUUGAUAUUCUUAUUAUGAUUUGACAAUAAUUAGAAUUGUUGAGACGGGUACAUAUUAUGUUAUUUUUUUAGAGGAAGAAACUGAUCUCAUAAGAUAAGAUAUAUGAAAUAUAUAUAAUUAAUAUGUAAGUGUUUAUUUCAUAAAUAAGUGCACUGAACAGACUAACAUGAGAAAUCCAUAUGGAAAUAACCUGUGUAUAUGGAUUACUCAAGUGAUGGUUGUGUAAGUGAUAUUUUGACUUGAAAUCAAUAAAUAAUUUUAUAUAUGAACUUUUAUAUUAUGAUUCAUCUUACAAAUUACUUAGUUCAUAAGUAAUAAAUGAGAAUGAAUUAGAUAUAUUAGAAACUAUAUAAAUGUGUUUAUGUGAUUGAGAUAGAUUUCAUUACCCUAGGUUAAAUUAGAGAAUGUCUCAUUUAUCCUCUGUUAGCAUUAAUCAUUAAAUCAUUUUGCAAGGUAGAAUGAAAUAAGCAAAUGAGAUUUGAAAUUUCAUUUAAUAGGUCAUGAUUAAUAAAUGAGGACUAAUAUAAUUGAAUAUCCCAGACACGUUCCAUAAAUUAAAUGUUAAAUCGGGAUAUUUCUGAUGAAGGAUAUUAAUUACACUUACAAACCAUAUAAAGGUUAAGUCAAACUUAAGUAAAACCACUUUUUGACAUUUCAAAUAUUUAGGUAGUUUUAACAUAUUGCUAGACUAUAUUAUUGACCUUCAAAUUAAUUAAUUAGUUAAUUAUAUUUUGUUGUCAAUAUAUUUGAAAUCUGAUGGGUCACACCCAUAAAUAAUUGCAUGAGAAAAUAAAACCAAAAGUUAAAUUAAGUAUGAUUUAAGUACAUAUAAAUUGAUAUUGGAAUAAAAUUAUAAUUUGAAAGAAUUAUGAUUUUGAUAUAAUUAAUUAAGUAUGAAUUAAUUAAAAUUGUCUAAGAUUUAUAUACCUCGUUUAAUAAAAUUCUAGAUUAUAGUUAUAAUUUAUUUAUUUAAUUAGUUAAAUAAAUAAAUAAAUAUUAUUAUACUAAAAGGAUAUCUUAUGAUAGCAUGUGCCUCUCUAACAGAAACCCUUUUGAGAGCUUCUAGAAUGACAUGUUCCCUUUUAUGUUUCCAGAGAAUUGUUUUUAAAAUGUUCAUAAUCAUCCAAUUAGGAUGAUAUGUUAGGGGUGUAUGUUUAUGUAUGUGAUAUGUAUGAUAUACAAUAAUAAUGCCUAUGCAUGAGACUUUAAUAGAAAUCUUAGGAUUAAAAUCUCUAAUUAAAAUUUGAAGUAAAUGUUAAGAACAUGAUGACUUAUCACCUAUUAUUAUGGCAUAAAAUUAGAUUUCGGUUUUUAUUAACUUGUUAGGCAAACUCAAAAUUAAUUUCAGUCGAAUAUGUUUAAUGCUAUGAAAUAUUUGAUAUUUUUGAACAAUGGUUCUAUUUAACUAAAUUACUUGAUUUGGAUAGGCAAAUUCAUGAUCAUGUAAAUUUAGGGUAAGAGUUAAGCAUAAUAUAUAAGAUAUGAUAAAAACAAAUAUUUGUCUCUAACUGAUCUGAGAUGUGAUUGAUAAAUUAUGUUAUCUAUUUAAUUUAAUUUAUAAUAAUUUGUUAAGUGUAUUAAUAGAUUUAGUCUGGUGAUAAGUAGUUCUGAGUAAAUAUGAGAAUUUUCAGAUUCUACUACCCGAUCUCAAUUCUCAGUUACAAAAAAAAUAAUUUGUUAAGUAAGCUCAAAGUUAUUUUAAUUAAAUGAAAUUCUAACCUACUCGGAGAUCUAAUUAUUUAUCCCUAUAUAGCAUAGUUGAUACUAAUAAAUUGAAUUAAAUUGAGAUUUUUCAUUCAGUUUAGGAGCCCUAUAAUUGUAAUAAUGGAGUAAAUUGGCCCAGAUUGACGUUUCAAACUUGCCAUUACUCAUCACUUGCAGGAAGUCAUCAAGUCUUCACCACCACACCCGUCUACGUCUCAGUUAGCUAGUCAAGUACAUGCACUUGUUUGAAAUUAAUAAUUCUCUAAAAAUUCAAUUAAAUUGUUUUUAGUAAUUUAUUUUUUUUAAUUUAAAAAUAUUCACUUUAAAAGAAAAUAUAAAUGAUACGUAAUUAAAAAAAUUAUUUAAAUUAUUUCUGAUAAAAUGAAUUAUUUUAAACAAAAUUAAUAAAAAAUAAAAGAAAAAACAUUUUAACUAUGAAAAUAAAAAAUCAAGUGUCAAAAAUAUAUUUGUUAUCAUUUAGGCAAUUAUAUGAGAAAAUUAAAGUAAACAUAUUAAAACUAAAAGAAAUUUAGCUAAAUCAUCCCUCAAACAAAUAUAUAUAUAUAUAUAUAUUUUAUGUCAAGUGUCCGCUGAAAGGAUAGAACUACGUAAGAUAGUCUCCAAUAAAAGAGAGACCCAUUUGAGUCUCUCUUGUGAUUCUAGUGAUGCCACAUGAAAUGAGAGACUCAAUAAAAGAAGAGAGAGACUUGUAUCUCCAAUAAAAGUCUCUCUUUUUUGAUUGAUUUCUCACAUAAAUUUAUAUUGAUCGUCGAUGGCUACUUUAUUAAAAAAAAUCAAUGCAUUUCUUUUAAAGAAUUUCUUCAAAAAAGACGUGUAUAGCACCUUCAAUAGUGAGAGAUCUAUAUUGUGAGAGAGAAAUUGGCCAUCUCCUUGUAAUUAGUACUUGUGACUUUUUAAAUAUGCGAUUUCUCUCAAAAAGUCACUACGUAUGCUGCUUAUCCCCUUAGAAUGAGAAAAGGGAAUAAAGGAGAAUGUGAUAUGAAAAAUAGAUAAUUUUCAUUUAUAAUCAUUCAAUUUUGAAUUCUUUUAUUUCUUUUGCUUGUUCUUAAUUUAUUUUAAUAAAAUACUUAAUUUUAAUUCUAUUUUAAUAGAAAUCAUUUUAACUCGCUAUUCUAAGUUAUCAAGUCCUCCGCCUAUUAUCCAUCAAUUCUUACAUAUUUGUAUUUAAUUAAUUGAUAAUUAUUUAUUAAUAAAAUUAUAUUAUUUUUAAUAGGUUUAUUGUUGAAUUUUAUAAUCAAUUUUAUGAUAUAUUAAUUUGCUAUUUAAUUUGAAUUUUUCUAAAUUUUUUAUUCUAAAUUGGUGCAUAUUUAUUCAAACUUAAGGAAAUCUUAAUGCCAAGAAACCAUUCCUUCUCUUGUUUUUCAAAUAAGUAAUAGAAUACAAAUAUUUAAAAUAAUUUAAUCUCUUUAGUUUAAUUCCAGUACUAAUCUCUAUUUAAUUUAAGUCCUAUUAGACAUAAAUAUUUAAAUGUAUUUAUAAAUUUAUAUUUGUAUUAUUAUCAUUUUUUUUAUUAGAUAAUAAAGCUCAAAAUUUAAUGUUAAUAAUUAUUUUAAUUAAUAUUAACUAAAACUUAUUUAAUUUUAUAAUUCAAACAUUUUUAAAAGAUUAUAAAUUAAAAGAAAAUAUUCUUUGCUGGCUUCAGCUAAGAAGCAAAAGCGAGCAAAUAAGAUUGUGGAUAUCUAAUUUUAAAAAACAGAUUGUAGAAAGUAAUGGCAGAGUAAUUCAAAAGAAAUGAGCCUUUCUUUGACUUCCUUGUUGUGGUUGAUUGUAUUCCUUGCAGAUCAUGGAUUAUGAUUUGAAGAUUGCAACACAACGAAAUGUGGGAGCUACGGCCCAGCCGUCUGGUUUCCGUUUCGAAUCAGAGGCAAGCAACCACGCCACUGUGGCUAUCCUCAACCUGAGUUUCACCUUUUUUGCUUUGAGAAGAACGAUACUGUUCUUGAGCUCACGACUUCAUGGAAACUUUUCAUACAAAGCAUUGACUAUAAUUAUGAAAUAACUAAUGAAAAGGUAAAGAGGCACUUGAUGACUGCUGAGCCACUAGUACUUGGGUCGUAGUCGAGUCUUUGUAUGAGAGUCAAUACCAAAACCCACUAUGUAAAAUGAUCCAUUAGCGCACAGCCCUAUCCCCAGUCGAGCAGGUCGGGCUGACCAGAGGCCCAGUCCCUCUAACGUGGUAGGGAAGUAGGGGAACAGGCCUAACUAUACCACGGUCCUAACAGCAUAAGCGCCGAAAGAGAAUUAAAUAGCCGCAGGUACGUCCAUACGUACAACUCUGCGUGCCACGGAUAGCACUGUAGCAGGGCGGCAGUUAUGUAUCACUAGAGGAUAAGGGAAAAAGAAAGAAUAGAGGAAAAGGGAAAAAGAAAGAAAAGAGGAAAGCGUGAACUAGGCUAAGUUUUUCCACGCACAGAAACCCUAUUUUCUAUUUGGAUCUAGGAUCAUCAAUCAUAAUUCAAGAUAUUAAAAUUAAAAAUACGAAAACACUCAUAGAAUAAUACAAUAGAAUGAAAUUAAUAAAUCUAUGAACUAAUUAAGUAUUAUCAAAUUUUAAAAAUACUACUUUAAAAUAUUAUAAUUAUAAUAAAACUCAACAUUAUUAUUAUAUUUACAUUGCAUACUAUAUUAAUAAAAUAAUAUAUAAUAAAAUAACAAAUGUAAUACCUUCUAAAUUCUGGCGUCGAAAUUUCAAAUUUCCGAUGAAAUCUUCAUUAAAAUAUAAAAUCUUGAGAUUAAAAAUCUUUAAAAAAAGAAUAAAAUGGUUUUUUAUAAAUGAAUUUAAAAUGAAUUUCUAAAGUGUUAAAAAAAAUAAGUUUUAACAAAAAUAAUUUUCAAACGCUAAAGAUGGGUCUUUGGCUUCUAAAGAUGGUCUAACCGACCCAACUAUAAAAGUGCUCAACUCGAAAAUAGAGAGAAGUUUCUUGAUGAGCUCCAACCUCCCUAAUACAUUCUUAUGAUUUCAUUAAUUUAUUUCUGCACUUUUUCUCAAAUAAAUUCCUUGGCUUUUGAAGAUUUAAGAUUCCAAUCUCUUGAACUUCAAGCUAAAGCCUUCAGCAUCUCUUCUCUUCAUUUCUUUUGGCUGUUAGAAGACAAACUUCUCUAAAAAGUAGAUUUCCAAUCUCUGUACUCACUAUUAUUCGUAGCUCAUACAUGGUAUUAAUGUGUGGGUGAAGGAUUUAAAGUAGCAUUGCUAUUAAUUUUAAACUUGAAGGAUAAAAAUCUUUUUGACUUGGAUUCUAGUAAUUGCAUGUUGUUUUUCUCUUGUGAUGACCUGGAAACUUGAAUGGGAUCUUCUGUUCUAUACCUAAAAGAAUUCAUGUUUUGCCUGUGUGUUAGAAGUAUGGGUUUUCUUUAGUUUAAACACUUUGAUUUCCUAUGAACAUGUGAUUUUAUUAUAUGCAUGUUGACCUUUCCUCUCUUUUUAGUUGCUGUGAGUUUGUGGAAGUGUUGGCAGCCAGAUUGGGUUGCUAGAUGUUGUGGUUACAAGUGUUUUUGGAGGCUGCUAAUUCAUAGAACAAGCUGUGGGAUUUUGGGAUAAUCCAUUCGGCGGCUGAACUUACAUUUUUCAGCUACCUCCUUUGGCAGCCUAAUGUGAUGCUUAACUUGAAGUUUUGAAUCUGGAUCAUGGACUUUAGAUUGUUGAAAGUCUCUUGUCAAAUCUUUUUGAGCAUUUCUUCUAUGUGUUUUGAGCUUUGUGUUUAUGGUUUCUUGGGGUAGCUUUAGAAAUAUAAAAGUUUAUAUUUGAUCUCUCAUUUAAAUCCAUCCAUGUAGGAUUAGGCUUAAGAGAUCAUUAAGCCCCAUAGUGAAGUAACUGCAUUUCCGGUACAAAGUAUAUAUACAAGAGGUGAGUAGAAUUAAACUAAGUUGAAUGAAAAAUAUAUUAAUCUCUAAAAUAAUAUAAGAAAAAGUACACUUUAGUUAUCUAUAUUUUCGCAUUUUUGCACCUUAGUGAUUAAAGUAACUUUCGUUGCAUUUCAUUUCAGAGUCUGAACUUUUGCACAGUUAGCAAUUUAAGAAUUUAGUCCCUAAUGGUAUUAGAUAUACUGAUGUGGCAUGUCGACAUCAUCACCAGUCUGACAUGGCAUGCUGACGUCAUUGUCAUAUAUGAUAUGGAAUGUUGACGUCAUCGUCAUGUCAUUAACUUUUUUUUAUGACCUAAAUACAAAAAUUUAAAAGUACAAGCACUUAAAUUACAAAUAAAAUAAAGGUUCAAUCCUUAACGGUAAAAGUGUGAAAUUUUCAAAAUGUAGGAAAAAAAAGUUAAGAAAAUAAGGAAGAGAGUGAGAAAGGGAGACAAGAGAAAGUAGUGAGAUAGAGAAAGAAAAGGGGGCAAUGGAAAAAAAAUUCUCUCUCUCUUCUCUUGUAUCUAUCUACCUACUUUACUUUAUUAUCUUCUCUUAACAUUUAUCUAUAAAAAUAAAUGAGGAAUUUUGAUAAAAAAUACAAAGUAAGAUAAAAAGGUACAAUAGAAAAGAGAGAUAUUUUCUCUUUUGCAAUGGUCUCUUUCUCCCUCUCUAUCUCACCAUAUCUCUCUCUCCUCUCCUCUCUCUUCUCUAUUUUAUUUUAUUUUUUAUACAUUUUAAAAGUUAUACAUUUUUAUCAUUAAGAAUUGAAAUUUAUUUUAUUUACGAUUUAAAAACUUGUACUUCUAAAUUUUUAUACUUAACAUAAUAAAGGGAUAGAUUGGUAAUAUGGUGAUGAUGUCAGCAUUUCAUGUCAUAUGACAAUGACAUCAGCACAUCACGUUAAACGUGGCGAUAAUGUCGGCAUGCCAUAUCAAUAUAUCUAAUACCGUUAGCCACUAGAUUUUCGAAUUGAUACCAUAGCGAAAGUUUAAAACUUUAAGAUAUAAUAAAGUUAUUUUAGUUCUUAAAAUGCAAAAAUACAAAUGAAUAGUGUACUUUUUCGAUAAUAUAUUAUUUAUUUCUAAUAAUAAACUUUUUAAAGUAAAAACUAAUUAACUCUAAAUAUUAUAUUACGUGUUUCUACUGGAUUACCCAUUUCUCUACUUGAAAAAUUUUCAAAGUUAGUCAGACUAAUAAGUGGCAGCAUCCAAUUGAGUCUAAGAUUAAGAAGCUAUUAGUUAUAAGUAAUUUCAAAUUACAAAAUUAUCGUAUAAAUUUUAAGGUUAUUGGUUGUGUAUAUUUUAUUUGUAAUAAUAUUAAUAGGUAAGUACUAGCAAAUUUCUAAAAUGAUUGACUUUCAGAAAAAUGUCUUAAUGUGUUUUACAUUGACUUUUUAAUAUCAAUUUUAUAUUUUAAUAAAGAAAAAAAAAGCCUUUUAAACUGUGAAAAAUUAAUUAUAAAUUAUUUAAUAACUAUUUAAAUUUUUUAAAAAUAGCUAUUUAAUCCGUAAUACUGUUAAUUCUUCGUUUAAAAAUUAAAAAAAAAAAAUUAAACAUUUAACCUCCUAAAAAAUAAUUUAACAGUAAAAAAAAUCUUUAUUGAAUAAAUAAAUUUAAUUUUUAAAUUUUAGUAUCUAGUUUAUAAAUAUACUUAUUUAUAUUUAUAUUGUUAAUAAAUAAAAAUAAUAAUUUUAUAAAAUAAAUAUAAAUCAUAUAAAUUUAUAAAUAUUUAAAUUUAAAAUUAUUAUAAAAUAUAAAAGAAUGAUUUACUUUAAAAAAAUCAAAUUACCUUUUAUUUUUCUUUAAUUAAAUAUCAAUUUUAAUAUUAAUAUCUCAUUUUUUUUUUGAAAUAAUAUUAAUAUCUCAUUUAAAAUUUUUAUUAAUUUAUAAGAAGCUAAUUAAUAUUUUCUAAAUAAAACUUAACUAUAGAAACUAUAAAAAUUAUUAAAAGUCAUUCAAAGCUAAUAAAAAAUUAUUAAAUAUUUUCUCAAUUAAUUUAUAAUAUUAUUUAAAUCCUAUUAAAUAUAAAAAAAAUUAUAUUUAAAUUUUUAAUAUAUUUUAUUAUUUUUCUUAUCUUUAUUAUAUAUACAUCAUAUUGAAAUAAUUGGAUUUUUUAAAAAAAACAUGUUAAAAUUUUUUAAGAGGUUUUUUAAUAUUAAAAUUUAUUUAGUUAAUAAGAAAAUAAAAAAAAUCCUUUAUGGUUUUGAUUGAUGUAAAACAUCUUUUAAUUUGCUAUUUAAAUUUAAAUGUUAAUUUUUCUAAAACUUUUAAAUAAUAUUUUAUUUAUUUUAUAAAUCUUAUAAAAUUAUUCUAUUCAUUUAUACCAAUAUAAAUUAUUUAUAAGUUAAAUUAUUAAAAUGUAAUAUUAAAAUUAUUUAUUUAAGAAUUUAAAUAAUUAUUAUGAUAUUUAUUAAGAGUUUUAUUUUUUUAUGGAAAUUUAACGGUUAGAUUUUAGAUUUUUUUGGUCAUUUUUAAUAAUUUAAAGGGUUAAAUUGAUGGUUUUAUUUAAGCGGUAUUUAAAUUUUGAUAAAAUUUUAAAGGAUCUAAAGAGGUUAUUUGCCAAUAAAAUAUAAUAAAAAUUUAUAAAUACUUAAAUUCAAAAUUUGUUACAAAAGUCUAAGUGAAUAAUUCACUUUAAAAACAAAAAAAUAAAUUAAAUUACUUUUUUCCUUAACUAAAUACCAAAUUUUAAUAUUAAUAUCUCAUUUAAAAACUUACAAGUAUUAUUAAAAUAUACAAAUGUUAUUAUUAAUUAUAAAUAAUAUUACAUAUGUAAGAUAUAUAAUAAAAGCCAUAUAAAUAUAUUGAAAUUUUAAUUUUUAUAAGAAACUAUUUUCUUAAUAAAGCUAAUAAAAGUCAUGAAAAUAUAGGCAUUGCUAACGAUAAAAAGUCAUUUAAAAGCCAACAUUUCAAUUAAUUUACAACAUAAUUUAAAUCCAUAUUUAUAUAAAAAAAAUUACAUUUAAUCUUUUUAUAUAUUUUAUUACUAAUUUUAUUUAAUAUAAUAUAAUAAUCGGUUAAAAUAAGUUAUGAGCGGAAUAAUCAUUUAUGAACGGACACUUAAAUAUAGAAUUACGUGACAAAAGUCUAGUAAGAUGAUAAUCAAUCCCAUCAAUAGAAAAAGAGACUCAUAUGCAACAUGUAAGAGUCUGGUCAGAUGAUACUCAAUCCCAUGAAAAAGAGACUCAUACGCAACAUACAAAAAUCUUGUCAGAUGAUACUCGAUCAAUAGAAAAAGAGACUCAGACGCAGCAGAUCUCGACUCUUCGCCAAAGACUCGCUCUCUUAGCUACAAGGCGAGACUCCAUGGAAAGUUACUGUUAUAAAACGCAAUCCAGCAGAUCCCCACUAUAUCUAUAAUUACGGGAUUCCUUUAUCUACUAGCCGGUGCUAUUUAGAUUUUUAAAAAUUUUGAUAAAUAACUCAAUCUUCUUAUAAUAUAUAAACUUGUGAAUACAUAAAUUAAAGUACGGAUUUUUAUAUAAUUACAUUGAAGUUUAAAAUAUCUCAUUAUACUCAUCUUUUUUUUCAAUUUAUUGAUUUAAGUAUCAGAAUGACGGCCAUAGAUACCAAUUACCUCACUUUAUUUUCUUAUAAAUUAACCAAUUGCAAUGCACUCUCAUUUUAGUCACAUUAUUAUUUUUAUUAUAUAUAUUAUUAUAAUAGUCGUAUUAAUGAUGUUUUAAAAAUAUUUAAAGGAUAUUCUCAUAUUAAAAUUUGAUUUUUAGUUAAUAAAAAAAUAAGAAAGAUAUAUAUUAUUUAUAAUUUUAAUUGAAUGUAAAUGAUCUUUUAAUCUAUUGUUUAAUAAAUUUAAAUUUUUAAAUUUUUAAAAUUUUAAAAUAAUACUUUAUUUAUUUUAUAAAUUUUAUAAAAUUAUUUUAUUCAUUUAUAAUAAUAUAGAUUAACAUAGUUUAUUUAUAAAUUUAAUUAUUAAAAUAUAAUAUUAAACUUAUUUUUUCAACGGACUUAAAUGAUUAUCAUGAUAUUUGUUACUCUCUUUAAUAUUUUUAUUUGGAACAUAGACUUUUUGUUGGAACAUAGACUAUCAUGUUAUAAGCUUUAUCCUGAAGAUUUUGGACUUUUUAAUGUAAUUUUUAAAAAUUUAAGGGUCUAAAUGGAUAAUUUUAGGGAUAUAAAUUUUGAUUAAUUACUCAAGGGUUUAAAGAGUUAUUUUUCCUUUUAUAAAUGUUAGAUAAAAUAUAUUUAAAUAAAUAUCUAAAAUUCUGAAAUUAUAUCUUAAAUAUUUUCAAUUUUCAUAAAAAAAAUAUUUAUUUCUCUAAUUUCAAAUUGUAAAUUUAUAUUUUUAUGACUGUAAUAUCAGAAAUUUUUAAACUUUCAUCUAUAAUAUUGAUAAAAAGAACUUCAUGCUAUAAAAUGUUAUAAAAUAUAGAGCCUUAUAAUUUAUAAUUUACAAAUAAUCUUAGUUUAUAUACCCUAGCUAAUAUAGCCUUGUGUGUCAGAAAAAGGAAGUUAACAUUAAUUUUAAUUUGUUAAAGUUAGAAAUUAAGAAAACUAAAAUUAUUUUGUUUAAAAGAAAUAAAAAUUGAGUUUAAACCAGCUUCAACUUUCGCAAAAAACCAUUAGAGGUAUUUUUCAGAAAGAAAUUAAAUCUCUAUUUGUCAGGAUUUAUUUUAUAAAAAAUGAAUUUAAAUAAAUUUUUAUAAAAUCAUAUAAGAAUUCUUUUUUAAAAUAAAAAAAAUUAAAUUAAAAAUUAAAAAAAUUAUUAAAAAAAAGUCAAUUAAAUUGAAUUCUUGCGCAAUUUUUCAUUCCAAAUAGAGGGUAAGCGAAUCGAGAGUGACUUCAACUUAUGUAGAGUAUGGGUUGAAACCGGAUUUGCAUAGGGUUCUGGCUGAGGAGGAGAUUGUUAUGGGCAAAAAAUUUUUCGCUUGAGGGUAAUCACAGUACCCUUUCUCCAUGCUCAGGUAUCAGUGAGACGACAAAUAAAUUUUAUGAAACACUCUAGGAUUCUGAAGAACGAUGGUGUUGAGAUAAGCAGGGCAUGGGUAAAGAAGUAGUGGCUGACUAUUUUCAUUGUUUAUUCUCCAAUCCUAUGGAUUCCUAUAAUACUUUUUUGCAUGUUAUUGAUUCAAAAGUUUUUUCUGAGGCUAUGCCAAGUUUGCUGCUUCUUUUACUGCAUAAGAAUUUAAAAAUGCUAUUUUUCAAAUGCAUCUACAUAAGACUUAUGUCCCAUAUAGCAUGAACCCAGCUUUUUAUCCAAAUUAUUGGAGUAAUUUUGGGGAUUCAAUGGUGCAGAAUUCUAUUCAAUAGCUCCAAGCAGGUUAUUUCCUUGAUACUCUUAAUGAUAUUAUAAUUGUACUUCUGAAUGAAUUAUUACUCCCCACAUAUGCUGAAGUGAUUGCUCAUUAGAUAAUCUCUCAUUUUAAAAAAAUACACUAAAUAUAAGUGAGAAAAAUAAUUUAAACUUUAACAUUCCUGCAACCUUAAAAAAUAAAAUAAAAGAAUAACUCUAUUUUUUAAAACAAAGAGAUUAAUUAAUAAUUUUUUUUAUAAUAUAAGAAUUAAAUAAUAAUUAUAUAGUUAUAUAUCUCUGUAUGAUCAAAAGAAAAUAAAUAUUUUUUUUAUAAAUUUUUUUUAAUUUAUUAUUUUUUAUUAUAUAUUUUUAAAAAUUAAGAGAUCAACUAAUGAAUUUUAUUAUAUUAUAUAGGUUAAAUAGUAAAUUUUAUUUUAUAAAAAAUUUAAAAUACAGUUAAUAUAAAGGAAAUAAUUAACAAAUAUUUUUACCUAACUGAAAUAUCAACUAAUGAAUUUUUUAUAUUAUAAAAAUUAAAUAAUAAAAUAUUUAAAAAUUAAAAUUAAUAAAAUAAUUAAUUAAUAAAUUUAUUAAAAUUUUAAAUAGUAUUUAAUCUAUUUUUUAAAAUUAAUGAGCUAAUUAAUAAGUUUUUCAUAGUAUAAGAAUUAAAUAGUAAUUUUUUUAUAAUAGUAAAACAAAAAUAUAAUUAAUUGAAUGAAUAUAUAUUAAAAAUUAAAUUUUAUUGAUAAAAAUAAAAUUUUAAAAUUAUUAAUAAUAAUUUAAUAAAAAUUAUAAAGAAAUAUAAUGAUUUGAUAAAAUUUAUAAAAAAAAAAUAAUAUUUGUAGUUUCAAUUUUUCAUUUUUUUAAUUUUAAAAAUACUUUUUAAUGAGUAAUAAAAAUAAAAAUAAAACACUGAACAUGUUUUUAAAUUUUUUAUUAAAUAAAAAAUAGAAAAUCACAAUAAAAAUGAACGCAUUCUUAAUUUAUAUAAUUUAAUAUAAUUACUUAUUUAAUCUUUUUAUUUUAAAUAUAUAUCAAUUAAUUUAUAUUUUUUAAAUUAUUAAUUAUUUAGUUUCUUUUAUAAUUAUAUAAUUAAUAAGUAGUUAUAAUUUUAAAAUUAUAGGGAUUGAGUAAUUAUAAUUUUAAUAUUUUAAGGAUUAAAUAGAUAAUUGUGUUCUGAAAUUGCAGAUAAGAGUGAUAAGAGCAUCUUAGCCAUUUCAAAUACUAACAAUGACGCAAAUAAACAUAAGGAUAAAAUAGUUAAGAGUUUCCAAAGACAUGGAUUAGUUAAUAUAUUUUCAAGCUAUGGGAUUCAAUAAUGAUUUGGACUAAAUAAUAAUUUUUAUUUUAAAAAACCCACGUACUCAGCCGUUGGUAACCGUCGAUAACUGGUCCCAAAUCGUUCCAUUCAAUUUCAAAAGUUUCUGUGCAAAUGCAAGUUUCAGGUAUUCUCUCUCACGAUCCAUCAUGGCAAUUCGUUAUCUCAUUCGUAUCUUGGGUUUUUUUUCCCUCUUCUUCCCCGCAUUUGAAUCUUCAACCUCAGGUACUCAUGGAAACCUUUCCUCUCUGAUUAUCACUUGUUUGAAAAAUUCGUGAAAAAAUCCUGUAAUCUAUGGCAGAUAAAGCAAAAGUUCCAAAUUUCGCUUUCAGUUGGUUAAAUGACAACAACACAUUCCAAGCUGGGGAUACUGCAGCCAUAAAGAUCAUAGUACUGGGAGAGUUUGACAGUAAAGGAAAUGCUUCACUUGAUAAGAAUGCUUUCAAUCCUACACUCACAGUGAAUGGGAAGAAAGGAAAUAGUUCUUUCGUUUCUGGGGUUUUCCUGGAUACUGCAGGGGAUACCAGUACCUGGAGAAUUACUUUUGCUCCAAUCAGAGUUGGGGUCUUUAAUGUCUUCAUCAAUGAUGAUCCUUUCAAAGUAUUUGAUUCAUCUCUCCAUUACGAAGCUCUGCCAGGUCCUAAAUGCAAUCUUUAGCAUUUAACUUCUAUUUUCGCUUAUUUAGAUAUGUAAGUUAGAACUUGUUUGAGGAAAAAUGUUUUCCCUAGCAAUCAAUUUGAGCCUGCAAUCUAUGACAGAAGGAUUUUGUUUUGUCUUCCAUUUUUAUUUUGGCUUUGUGCUCUAUCUGGGUUUUACUAGUUGUUUUGGANNNNNNNNNNNNNNNNNNNNNNNNNNNNNNNNNNNNNNNNNNNNNNNNNNNNNNNNNNNNNNNNNNNNNNNNNNNNNNNNNNNNNNNNNNNNNNNNNNNNNNNNNNNNNNNNNNNNNNNNNNNNNNNNNNNNNNNNNNNNNNNNNNNNNNNNNNNNNNNNNNNNNNNNNNNNNNNNNNNNNNNNNNNNNNNNNNNNNNNNNNNNNNNNNNNNNNNNNNNNNNNNNNNNNNNNNNNNNNNNNNNNNNNNNNNNNNNNNNNNNNNNNNNNNNNNNNNNNNNNNNNNNNNNNNNNNNNNNNNNNNNNNNNNNNNNNNNNNNNNNNNNNNNNNNNNNNNNNNNNNNNNNNNNNNNNNNNNNNNNNNNNNNNNNNNNNNNNNNNNNNNNNNNNNNNNNNNNNNNNNNNNNNNNNNNNNNNUCUCCACUUCCGUUGAAAGUGAAUCCAGGUGAUUGUGCUGUAGCUAGUCAUUUGUUCAUAGCUUGUAUUAGAGGGAUUCUUUUUGUAAAUAAGAGUUAUUUUUUUCAUGAAUUCACCAGUAAAUCUUUCUCAAGGUUUUCUUUCUUGAGAUAUUGAAAUUGAUGAGGUGUAUUACAAACUCACAGUACCAACUCAACAUUGUCUUGAAGUCCAUUCUUGUUAACAUGCCACAGACGGUUGCAUUAUUUCUGUGAAUUGGGGUGCUUUCUCACUUUGUAUCAUCAGUUUCUACGUGAACUUUGACUGUGAAGGUUAAUUUGUACAAGGGAAGAGAAGGGGAAAAGGGGAAAACUCAUUAGUGUCAUAUCCAAAUUGUGAUGCAGAUACAAAAUAGCUCCCAAGCCCAUGUUGAAAAUGUUUCUGUUGAUGCUGUUUGACAUGAGCUAACAUGGAAUUUAAGUUUUCUCUUGUAAAAAGCAUGACGUAAUUCCCUUUUUCUUUUUGACUCUUUAGAACCGUCUUUUUCCAGGUCCUCUAGACAUUUCCAAUUGCCUGCCAAAAUGGAAGUUUGAGACAAAUGCUUGGCAAAUAUUUUCCAAAAUGGAAAUUUUUAUACAUCAACAAGAUCAGUAUGGGAACCUUGUUUCUGGACUAUAUGAAUUUGAUGCUGAUAUUGUUGAAAGAGAGACAAAUCUGACUAUACCAGUUGCAGAUUUGCACUUUGAAGAUGUGGUUCCAGGAAUACAGUUAUUCUCUUUCAGUCUAUUAGAACCGGGAAACUUCUUGCUCACUAUAUCUGAUUUGGAGCAUAAUAGAAGCAUCUCCAAUAUGCCGUUUGCUUAUACUGUCUUUAUAGGUGUAUAACAUAUCUGCUAAUUAUUUUUUUUUGGAAAGUCUAAUGAUGUUAGUGUUGAGCUCUUGCUUUUAUCUACCCUACUCCCUCAAUAUUUCUUUUCCUUUUCCCUUCUAGAAUGCAACAAAUGUUUGGUCUACUAGUUAUUGAUUAUGGCUGUUGCCAUUGGAAGGGAGGCCAAAUUAAGUUUUGAUUCUAGUAGGUGACAAGCAGUGCUUGAUGCUAUUGCCUAUAUAUAUAAUGUAACUAUUUCUUUCUGAAAUCAUCACAAUAUUAAUUAUGUUUCAAUUUAACAGGUUAUUGUGAUGGAUCAGCCAGCACUGUCAACGGAUCUGGUUUAAAUGAUUCCAUUGCUGGUGAAAUUUCACAGUUUUCAGUCUAUUUGUUUGACAUUUUUCAAUAUCCUGCUUUCGUUGAACUAGGAAGCAUUAAAGUGCAGAUUGUAAGGGAAAAUGAUUCCUAUUAUGUGCAGCCAAGCAUUGUUCCAAUCAUCAAUGGUAUCUGAUAUUAUAAUUUCUUUCCUUUUGAUGAACAAUUUUAACAGUGGUUCACAAGGAGGCAUGCAUCUCUUUCACAGGAAAUGGACCUGCUCAAGAACUCAGCCAGACAGAAAUUUCUCCAGCACCAUCUGAUGUUACAAUGAACAUUGUAAGUUGUACUUAAUUAUUUCUUUCAGUCCAUUGUUGAGAAAUCUGACAUUCUUUCCUUCUUCUCUUUGAUUCAGUCUGCUGGACACUUUGAAGUUGCAGCCAGUGUUUUUCAUGUGAUUUAUACUGCUGAGAAGAGUGGGAUAUAUGAAAUAUAUGCAUUUUGUGGAAAUAUUUUACUGAGUGGUGUUCAAUCAUUCAGAAAGGAAGUUAAAGCAGGUUAGUCUUAUAUUUAUGUUUUGGGUUAGCCUCACUUUUAAUUUACAUUUCUUCCUUUCAUCUGUCACUAGUACCACGGUGAAAGCAUACAUUUAAUCAAAAUUGUGAUCAAUUUAUGUCAAUUAGAGAUUACUGAGAGAUGAUUUAAAAUUAAAUUUGAUGUUUUUAGCCAUAGGAACACUAAAACUAAAAAACAAGAUUUUGAAACAGAUUUUUCAAUAACAUCUAAAAAUUGGGGGCUUUCUUAAAAAUUUAGCCCUGCAACGACAAUGUCAAGCAGGCACUAAAGCUUUAGAAAGUGGAAUUGAGUUUUUGAAUGUGUAAUAAUAAGGUCAAUUUGCACUUUAGUGGUUGUGAACAAAAUGUUUCCUUUUAUUUUUAUAGUUAAUCAAAUAUCCACAACUUAAUGUUUUAGAUAUUAAAAUGCAGAUAAGAAACAAACUGUUUGGACUAAUGUAUGAUUUUUCACAUUUUGUUAAUUAGUAUGGGAAUAGAAUAAUUUUCAAAAAAAUUUGGUAUUCAAGCUAACUUUGCACUUGCAAUACAAUCCAUAGUUUUCAAAAGUGGUUUGGGUUGGGUUAACUUGGAACUAAACCACUGGCAUUCUGGUUUCAAAAUAGGUUUCUUUCUACUAAUGAAAAUAGAAUUCUUGCCCACUAGGGUUUUUGAACUCAAGACAUAAAAUUUGUGUUUUUUUCCCUUUCCAUCUAAUCAACUUACAUCCUUAGUGUAAGCUUGUCAAUAUUUUUUUAAAAUCUUUUACAUUUAUAAUAUAAUUCUUUUUAAUCUCAUAUUGUUUUUUUACGAAAAGUAAAGGUGUACAAUUGAACUUCAAGAUGGUAAAUUAUUAGUUUUUAUUUCAAUGUUUCAUUUUGCAUGUAUGGUUGCUACUUGCUAGUUACUGCUUCACUGGUGUAGUUACCUUCUGUUUUUCCCCUUCUUGUUUUAUUUUUUUUAAUUGUUUAAUCUAUAAUAAUGGUUACCCCAUAUAAUUGCGUGCAGUUUCUCCCUUGAUUUUUUACUAAAUUUUUUCUUGCUUUUCAUAGGUAAGGUUGAUGUAUCUCUUUCAAAAAUUGUGAAAUUUUCUCCCAAGGUGCCAAAGCUGAUUGAAAAUGAAAUGUGGGUGCAACUAAUGGAUUCAUUUUCUAAUCAUGUCUUGUCCCAACAGUCACUGCUAAAACUAGAGAUUGCUGUAAAUAGGUCUGGUUUUUCAACAGAAAUGUUUGUUGAUAAUAAUGAUGGGUCAUAUACUUGUCAAUAUAUGGCUAAGGAUGUUGGAACCAAUGAGAUGUGUGUUUCAUUUGAUGGCUUACAUCUCAUGCCCUGCCCCUUUGGAGUCAAUGUGUAUGGUGGUAAGUUAUAACUAUGUCAAUAUAUAUUAAUCUCGUCAAUACAAACAAACUAUCAUUAAUUUAAAUGCUUUAUGAUUUGGUGGUACAUUUAGUAUAGCAAGAUGAACUUGAUUUGUCCUCAUAGCAUGGUGAAUUUAGGAUGUUUGAACUUUGUUAAGUUUUAUAGAAAACUAUUAUUGUAAUUCUAAGAAAAAUGCCAAAGCCAAGGCUAUACUUGUAGAGCAUAGUGGAAUGUUGCAACUAUAAUACAAUGGAUUAUUUGAUUGCCUCACAUUCCAUUCCAUUUUAAGAUAUAUAACCGAUAUUCUUAGAUUUCUAACUAGUAAAAAUGGCAUGAUUUGAUUUGUUCAAGAAAACCAUAAGACAAUAAGGGGCCAUAAAGUUUGUGCUAGGUUCAGAUUAAGAUGGUCAACUCUUUUUAGAAUAUUUGUUUGAUCCAACAAAAUAUGAUCUAUUAGAUGGCCAAAUUAAUUUGCACUAAUUUGUGAGUGCAAUAGCAACUUUGCUAAAAAGAGAAGUAUUAAGAUUAUGGACUUAUAAGAAUGAUAUAUACAACAACGUAAUUAUGAGGCUGUCUCUAUGAAUGAAGUAAAAAAGUAAAAACAGGACCAAAGGGGGUUUAUUACUUAAAUAAAGGAGAUUAUCAAGACUAAGUAUUAUAAAUAGUAUUAUUCUUUUUCCCUUUUCCAAUUGCAUGUAAGAAGAUCCCCAUUACGUAUAGGUUAUUUGGUGAGAUAUUUUAUGUUUAUUUUUUAAAAAUUAUGAAAUAAGUGAUUUAUCAUUUUGAACAAAAUUGAUAAAAUUUACAGAUAUAGUUUUUUCAAUGAGACAAUGAGACUUUUCAGCACUUUUUCCAUGGCAGUGAUGUAUUUGUGAUUAUCAAAGUGGAGAUACCAAAAAGCUUUCUUUCUUUUUUUUUUUUUUUUUUUNNNNNNNNNNNNNNNNNNNNNNNNNNNNNNNNNNNNNNNNNNNNNNNNNNNNNNNNNNNNNNNNNNNNNNNNNNNNNNNNNNNNNNNNNNNNNNNNNNNNNNNNNNNNNNNNNNNNNNNNNNNNNNNNNNNNNNNNNNNNNNNNNNNNNNNNNNNNNNNNNNNNNNNNNNNNNNNNNNNNNNNNNNNNNNNNNNNNNNNNNNNNNNNNNNNNNNNNNNNNNNNNNNNNNNNNNNNNNNNNNNNNNNNNNNNNNNNNNNNNNNNNNNNNNNNNNNNNNNNNNNNNNNNNNNNNNNNNNNNNNNNNNNNNNNNNNNNNNNNNNNNNNNNNNNNNNNNNNNNNNNNNNNNNNNNNNNNNNNNNNNNNNNNNNNNNNNNNNNNNNNNNNNNNNNNNNNNNNNNNNNNNNNNNNNNNNNNNNNNNNNNNNNNNNNNNNNNNNNNNNNNNNNNNNNNNNNNNNNNNNNNNNNNNNNNNNNNNNNNNNNNNNNNNNNNNNNNNNNNNNNNNNNNNNNNNNNNNNNNNNNNNNNNNNNNNNNNNNNNNNNNNNNNNNNNNNNNNNNNNNNNNNNNNNNNNNNNNNNNNNNNNNNNNNNNNNNNNNNNNNNNNNNNNNNNNNNNNNNNNNNNNNNNNNNNNNNNNNNNNNNNNNNNNNNNNNNNNNNNNNNNNNNNNNNNNNNNNNNNNNNNNNNNNNNNNNNNNNNNNNNNNNNNNNNNNNNNNNNNNNNNNNNNNNNNNNNNNNNNNNNNNNNNNNNNNNNNNNNNNNNNNNNNNNNNNNNNNNNNNNNNNNNNNNNNNNNNNNNNNNNNNNNNNNNNNNNNNNNNNNNNNNNNNNNNNNNNNNNNNNNNNNNNNNNNNNNNNNNNNNNNNNNNNNNNNNNNNNNNNNNNNNNNNNNNNNNNNNNNNNNNNNNNNNNNNNNNNNNNNNNNNNNNNNNNNNNNNNNNNNNNNNNNNNNNNNNNNNNNNNNNNNNNNNNNNNNNNNNNNNNNNNNNNNNNNNNNNNNNNNNNNNNNNNNNNNNNNNNNNNNNNNNNNNNNNNNNNNNNNNNNNNNNNNNNNNNNNNNNNNNNNNNNNNNNNNNNNNNNNNNNNNNNNNNNNNNNNNNNNNNNNNNNNNNNNNNNNNNNNNNNNNNNNNNNNNNNNNNNNNNNNNNNNNNNNNNNNNNNNNNNNNNNNNNNNNNNNNNNNNNNNNNNNNNNNNNNNNNNNNNNNNNNNNNNNNNNNNNNNNNNNNNNNNNNNNNNNNNNNNNNNNNNNNNNNNNNNNNNNNNNNNNNNNNNNNNNNNNNNNNNNNNNNNNNNNNNNNNNNNNNNNNNNNNNNNNNNNNNNNNNNNNNNNNNNNNNNNNNNNNNNNNNNNNNNNNNNNNNNNNNNNNNNNNNNNNNNNNNNNNNNNNNNNNNNNNNNNNNNNNNNNNNNNNNNNNNNNNNNNNNNNNNNNNNNNNNNNNNNNNNNNNNNNNNNNNNNNNNNNNNNNNNNNNNNNNNNNNNNNNNNNNNNNNNNNNNNNNNNNNNNNNNNNNNNNNNNNNNNNNNNNNNNNNNNNNNNNNNNNNNNNNNNNNNNNNNNNNNNNNNNNNNNNNNNNNNNNNNNNNNNNNNNNNNNNNNNNNNNNNNNNNNNNNNNNNNNNNNNNNNNNNNNNNNNNNNNNNNNNNNNNNNNNNNNNNNNNNNNNNNNNNNNNNNNNNNNNNNNNNNNNNNNNNNNNNNNNNNNNNNNNNNNNNNNNNNNNNNNNNNNNNNNNNNNNNNNNNNNNNNNNNNNNNNNNNNNNNNNNNNNNNNNNNNNNNNNNNNNNNNNNNNNNNNNNNNNNNNNNNNNNNNNNNNNNNNNNNNNNNNNNNNNNNNNNNNNNNNNNNNNNNNNNNNNNNNNNNNNNNNNNNNNNNNNNNNNNNNNNNNNNNNNNNNNNNNNNNNNNNNNNNNNNNNNNNNNNNNNNNNNNNNNNNNNNNNNNNNNNNNNNNNNNNNNNNNNNNNNNNNNNNNNNNNNNNNNNNNNNNNNNNNNNNNNNNNNNNNNNNNNNNNNNNNNGUUUUAGAAGAAAUAUGAAUUCCUGGCUGCUUAAAUGAACCAUUCAUCUGUUCAUGGACUUAUUUUUCUUUUCUUAUUUAUCUUUUUGGAGAAUAGGGUGGAGAAAAUGGUGCUGUUUUGACGUUGAAAGUAAAUGAUAUGGGAAAUUAUGGUUGUUAUUCUGAUUGUACUGACAAUAUCUCAAUGCCAUUGCACGUUAAGGCUACUGUGAAUCUUAUCCGAAAAAGGCCAAUGAGUUCAUUGGCAGUUCACAGUAAGUAACAAUCAUAUAUAUAUAUAUAUAUAUAUGUAUAUCUUGCUUGUAUUUUUUAAUUUUUUUUAGCCAAAGUGCAUCUAUAUUAAGUUAUAACUCAUAUCAAUUUUCAUUAUGCUGGUGCAGCCCUUGGAUCAGUUGUUAUUAUUGAAUUUCUUAUGGUUCUCUCUUUUGGAGUAGUACUUCUAUUCUUCACAUGUAAAUGUGCAAUUCUUCUUGUAAAUGAAAGAAGCAGCUUCAAAUUCCAAAACUCUAAGCAGUCUACUCUGCGAAAUUUUCAGAAGGAAUCUGUAAGUGAACCAUAUGUAUUGAUUUUCAAGUGUAUUUGAGGCAUUUUAACGUGAACUACACUUAAGUUCCAAUGUUGGUUGAAUUAUCUUACGCAGUCAAGUGCUGAUUUAUCUGAGAAAACAACUGACUUAACUGGUGGUUGUUCUCGAUAUCUUUCUAUUUACCAUCGAACUUCCAGCUUUCGACAACGGUAACUAGCUUUUGACAAAAGAAACAUUUUGGUAAUGGGUUCAUAGCUAGGAUAGAGAAAGAAGUUUUGAGUUUUUUUUUUUUCAUUGUAUAUUUUGGCUUCACUAACAUGCGCUUUUUACAAAUGUGCAGCUCUAGCCGUCACUCUGAACUAGCAGAAUCUGGCCAGGAUAUACAUAGCCCCUCUCAAUCUACUAAAGGUCAUCAUCUACAGGCUCUACCUGAUUUUAUGCCACUUGCUAUUGAGAAGGGCUCGUAAACAAGUUGAUCUAUUGUCUAAAAUUAAACCAUUUGAUGUGGACAUUAAUGGAAUUGAGAAGGUAUUUCAUUCAAUUACAACUGUGUUUGCAUCCAAAGAUUUGCGUAUUUAGAAGAUGAUUUAAUUGGAACAUGGCUUUUUUCUUCUUUUCCAACUCUGUUAAUAAUGAUAUUCUUUUUACUGAAGGCUAAUUUUAUCUUCAAGAAAAAUUUUCAUAUAACAAAACUAGGGUUGUUCAAUUCUCAUUCUGUAACUGGUCUUGGUAAGAAUCAAAAUCGCAACUAAACCUUCAAUUUUUUGCAAUAUAAGUACGGUUUUAGUUCAGUUUCGAUUCUUAUUUUCGCUUUUUUAAAUUUCAAUUUUAGUUUAAUUUUAGCUAAAAUUUUAUUUUUACAAAUAAAAUUACAAUAAUUUUACGUUUUAUUUUAAAAUAAUAACAAAUAACAUCAAAAUAAUAAUAAAAAUAAAAAUACUAACAUUCAAACAAUAGUUUCAGUUUCAGCUCAAAUUUUAUAUUUACAAAUAAAAUUAUAAUAUUUUUACAUCUAUUUUAAAAUAAUAAAUAAAUAAAAUCAAAAUAAUAAUAAAAUUAAAGAUAUUAACAUUUAAAUAAUAGUAGUAUUAAUAUUAAAAUAUAUUAUAUACAAUAAAAAUAUUAUAUUAUUUUAUAUAUAAUUAUUAAUUAUAUAAUUUUGAUUAAAAGAUUCAUGGGUAAUUAAUAUUUAAGGAUAUGUUAUAUUACUAACAUAUAAUUCAUAUAUAUAAUUAAAAAUUAGAAAAUAAUAUUUUUAAUAAUUUAAUGACUGCCAAACACCAUUAGCAUCUACGGCUACUCAAAAGUAUUGAAUUAUGUAGCGACUCUGAUAGACUGAUUCGUCCCUCUUCAACUACUCAUCUAUCAACAGCUUAUGUGAGGAAAAUAAGUUUUGCUAAUUUAAUCCAAUCAUUUGAAAUUUAUUUUUUUCAAUUUCAUUUUGUACAACCACCAAACUAUAUUCAUUGUUUAAAAGUAAGACGCAUAAUUUACAAUACUAUUAUCGUAUUUUUCAAUAUUUCUUUUAAUCAAGCCACUCAGCAGCUCCUGUAGGACUGACCAAUUAUAAAAGAGAAAAGCUGUAAGACACCAAGUGAUAUAGCUGUAGGACCUGAAGGUCAAUCUAUAACUGCAAUGGUGGCCCUAUGAGCUAAUCUAUAGGGUACCUCGUUGUAGUCCCAAGUCCAUAUAAACUGUAGCGCAGUACUCUAAUACAAAUGGCAUGAAAUCCCCUUAUGCUGACUUUAGACUCCUACUACUAAACUUGAUGAAUAAUUUAUAUAAUAACUCUCUUAUUAAAUUGCAAAUAAAUCAUGUGUAUUAGGCACACUUAUACUUUAUCCAUAUUUGAUUUUAAAAAAUUGAGCAUUCUUUUUAUUCAUACCAAACAUUACAUUUGUUCUCUUUAAAAUCAACUUUAAAAAAAUUAUACUUAUAGAUUCUCACUAUAGGAAUAAAAUAGUCCAUAUAGCAAAUCACAUUGUUACUUGUUGGUUUUUGAGAGGAGAGGAAAAAGCUAUAUAAUGAUUUUGUUAUUUUACUCGUUAAAACAUGAUACAUAUGUAGGAAAAAUAUAACAGAAAAUCUUAACAAAAUUAUCUAUUAAAUCAUAUUUAAACUCAUAUAUAAUAACUUAAAAUUUAAAUUUUAUCCUAUUUUCAUAUCAUAAUAUAUCAUCAACUUUGACAGCAUCGACAUUGGUAUAUGUCGACAUCAAUAUUAGUAUAUCGGCAUGGGCAUUAACGUCUGCAUCAACAUUGAUAUUGUAUUUUUUGAGGAGUUCUUCAUUUUCUGACGUAGCUAUCUUGGAUUUAUUGGGGUACUAAUUUAUUGUGACAUAUGCUUAUUGUGGCAUGGAGGAACCUUUAUUGUUUUCUAACUUGAUUUUUCUUCCUAUGGUAUUUUCUGAUGUUCCAUCUCUUUCUUUUUUUUCUCUAUUUUUUCUCAUCUUGUAUUUCUCACAGGCCUUUAUAAAAUAGCACUGAUAUCAAUUGUUGAUUUUUGAGGGGAGAGAAAGAAGAAAUAUAAUGGUGUUGUUAAUAAUAACUUAAAAUUUAAAUAUUAUCAUAUCUUCGUAUCAUAACAUAUUUUUUUGAAAGUAGAAAAAGCAUAUUUCAACAUUGUCCACACCAUUUGUAAAUCAACAAAAUAAGUAUACAAAUUCAACAAUACAACAGAGUCAUAUGGAAGGUAGGUUACUGUCUCAUUUUGCAACCUACUUUUAGAUAAAUUAAGUGUUAAAUCAAUUCUUGUUAUUUUAUGAAAAAUAUUCCUUCACGUCUCAGCUUCCUAAAGAAUUAAAAAUCAUCACAUCUUGAGCUUUGUAGCUCAGGUUAUAGUUAAUUAUUCUCAAACUGUUCACAAUUAAAAAUUUCAGUCUCAGUUUUGGUUUUUUGGCACUAUAUCCUGCUUUUAGAACGUUCUCUUGAAUUUUUUAGCAUGAUUAUUCUUAAAAUCUUUAGAUCUAUUCUUAGGUUUCAUUUGGCUUUGGAAUUUCUUUAUUUGGAUAUUGUCAGUCAUGUUAUGAAUAUUUUUAUACAACCUGUCUUGUGACUCAUAUCCAGAAAUUUGACGUUUAUUUUAUAUUUGUACACACUAAAACCCAUAUAAAAUUAGAUUAAUAUCUCUUCUAUGAAUUUUUAUUUCUAUAUCUCAGAGUUCUAAUGGUUCAAGAAUAAGAUCAUUUAGAUAUUUUUACUUUAGUUAUAAUUUAAUUUAUACAAAUUGUUCAAAAUAUAUCUCAUUUGACUUUAGUUUUCAUGUUCCUUUUACAGCCCCAAUUCAUGGUAUUUCCCCAUAAAAUUUAGCCUUAGUGUUCAAGGUUAAAGACAAUUUGGCAAAAUGGCCUUUUACAAACAUUUAGGUUUAUCUCCCAAGUUUCAUAUGAGUCAAAUUUCACGUUAUUUAGACAACUCUAGCUCAAGUUAUGUCAUAUUUACUAAAAUUGGUCACAGGGUAUCAAAGUAGCAAAAAAUAUAGUUCAAUCUCUAUAAAAAAAGUAUCAUGCGAUUUCACUCAUUUUCACUUCGUAAUCUAUAGUUCAAUCUGUAUUAAAAUAAUAUUUAUAGUAUAAUACCGUUAGCAAAUAGCAUUAAUUUUUUAAUGCUAUCAAGAAUUACUAAAGUGAUAAAUAAAAUAUAAUUGUUAAUUAAAAAAGAAAAAGUAUAAAAAGAUAUCUUGUGGUUUUAUUCAUUUUUAUUUCAAAAUCUGUAAUUUAAUUUAUAUUAAAUUAGUAUAUCGAGAUAUAUAAUUUUUAUAUUAAUAUUUGUUACAGCAUCUAAAAAUUGCCUCUAUUUGCUAAUGCGGAUACUACAAAUACUAUUUUGACACAAAUUAAAUCACAAAACACUUUUUUUAUACUUUCCUCUCAUCUUAACAUAUGUUCAAUAGUGACUUUGUUUCCUUUUAAGUGAGCACAACUAUAUAAACUUGUAGCUUCCUAGUUCACCUCUUUUUUCCUACCUUUUGCUUUGGUGCUUUGGUGCUUUGGUUAUCCUCUCCCUCUAUCAAAUUCAGCAACAAAACAGUAAUUUAAACUAACUUUUAAAAAAAAUCAAAAUAUGAAAUUCAAUCAUGUCACUUUUAUUUUAUUUAAUUAGUAUAUGUCAAUUAAUUGAAAAAAUAAUGAAGAAAAAUCUAUUAAAUUUUUAUUUAUACGUAUACUAACAAUUAAAAUAAAAUUAUAUUUAAUUAAAAAAUUUAUCAUUAAUAAAAUUUUGUAAUAUAAUUAUUAUAUAAUAAAUUAUAUUAUUAAAAUAAAAUAAUAAAUAAUUUUCCCUUAAAAGUUGCAUUUGUUAUAUAGUUAUUUAUUGGGUGUAAGUAUGUCAUUAGUAUUCUCCACAGAGGAAAUUAUGUAUAUAUAGAAAGGGUUUAUAUAUUAAAAUUUUAGAUUUAUAAAUUUAUAAAAGAAAAAUAAAAGAAUAUAAGUGUUAAAAAAAAUAUAAUUAGUGGUUGAAAAAAAUAUAAAAAAUAUAAGUGUUAAAAAAAUAUUAAAAAAUAUAAUUGAAGCUAAGGAUUUUAUAAAGCAUUAAAGAAAGAAAGUUGAUAGAUAUUUGUAUUUAAGAAAUUCUUGUAUAAUUUGAUUAAUUUGCUUGAAAAAAAUAAUUAAAGAAUUUAAAGUGAUUAAAAUUAGACUAAAAAAUAAUAAAAUAUUACAUUUGAUAUAAUAUCUUAAUUCUCAUGUUUUAAUUUUUAAAAAUUAUUUAAAAUUAUUAAUAAUUUUAUCUAUAUCCACUAAAUUUUAAAAUUUAUUUCAUUUUUAUCACUAAACUUUAAUUUAUUUCAAUAAAAUUAUUUUCACUUUAAUUUUGUUUAAAAAGAAGUGAAUUUAACCUACUAUAACAGAUUCCAAGGUUACAAUAUGCAAAAAAUAAUCAUUUUCUGUAUUUUUUUUCUAAGUUUCUUCAUUUUUCCAUUCCUUUCAUAAUUCAUGUUUAGAGAAAUUAAAAUUUAAUUAUUAAUAAAAUUGAUUAUUUUGUCUAAAAUGAAAUCUUAAUUUAAUAAAUCUAAUAAUAUUUUAUUUAUUAGUUAUAUUUUAUUUUAUCCAUUUUACAAUUAUUAUUUUAGUGUUUAUUAAAUUAAUUUUGUCUUAUUUUUCUAUAAUUAAUAAAAGUUGCUGUAAAUAAAAGAUUUAAAUAUCUCAAAUAUAAAGAUAUGAAAUAUUUUUAUAUAAUGUAUAAUAAAGUAGUUUAACAAUUCUGUUAUCAUUUGGUUGGUUCGGUUUAAAAUUGAACCGAAAUAAAUAAAUUAAAAAUUAAAAUUUUAUUAUUUAUAAAAAUCAAACCGAAUUGAUUUUGAUCAGAAAUCAAAUUAAAUUGAAUCGAUUUGAUUCGGUUCGAUUUAAUCAAUUUGAAUUUUUAAUAAAUUUUUUAUUUUUACAUUUUAUUUUUAAUAUUUUAAAAUUUAAUUAAAAUAUUUUAAAUUUAAUAUGAUCUAAUAUUUAUAUUAUUGAAAAUAAUAUAUUAUUAUCACUAAUCUGUUCGAUUAAAUUUUUUUUUCCUGAUCAAAAUUGAACCGAACUGAAAUAACAAAAAAUUUUAAAAUUAAAAUCUGAACUGAAAUGAAUAAAAAAUUAAACUAAAAUUUUAAAUUAAUUUAAUUUGUUCGAUUUUUUUCGAUUUGAACCAAAUAUUGCUCUAUCCUAUUUAAAAUAUUUAAUAAUUAAUGUUGAAAAUGUAAUUAGUUAAAAAUUGAUUAAAAAUCAUUAUUCUUUUAAAAUAAAUAAUAUUUAUUUAUAUCUAAUUACCUGUGCAAUUAAAUAAUUACUUAGCAUUAUUUAUAAUAUUCAACAAUCAAUAAUGAAAAUUUUCAUUAAUUUUAUUUCUAUCAAAUAUUUAAUAAUUUAUUUUAAAAAUUAAUUAAUUUUUAUAUUUUACUAUUAUCUUACUAAAAAACCUUAAUAAACAUAUUAAUAUUUAAUCCUUCAUUAUAUGUAACAAUAAAUUUUUUAAACUCUUAUUUUAUAUAUUGAAAAUUUUUUCUUUUAUUUCUAAAUUAAAAUUUAAGUACUAUUUCAAAAAAAAAAUUAAAAUUUAAAUAAUCAUUUUAAAUAGCAAGUAUAUAACAUAAUUUAAUAGUAGAAUUUAAUAAUAAAAAUUUAUUAAAAAUAAAUAUUUUAUUAAUAAAUAAUUUUAUCAAUUAAUUAAAUAUAAUAGGUGCGGAAGAAAUAAAAUGAAUAAAGAAUUCGUAACUUGGAAACCUGCCACACUAGGUUAGGGUAAUUUUUUUUAAAUAAAAUUAAAAUUGAAUGAUUUCAUUAAAAUAAUUUAAAGUAGAUAAAAAAUUAUCUCCAAAUUAUACCUACGUAUGAAUGUCGGACUAAUUUAAUUAAAAUUUAAAUAUUUAUAUUAAAAUAUAAAAUAAUAUAAAGGUUAAAUUUUUUUAUUAACUAACCUAUAAAAAUAGAAAAAAUGAAAUUAAUAAAAGACAGAAAUAAAGGAGUAAUUUUAUUAUUUUAGUAUAUAGUAACAAAAACAACAAUAUUAAUUUUUGUUGUUCCUCCUUAAUCGGUUCUUAUCCGUUAGGCCAUUUCCAACACUGCACACUAUUUUUAUAUUAUUUUAAUAUAAAAUAUUAAAAUAAUACAAUAUCAUCUCUAAUUUUGUACAUUAUUUUUAAUAUAAAAAAAUAUUUUAUUUAUAUUCUUCACUUUCCUUAAUAUUAUAUUAUUUAUUUUAUUUUAAUUUUAUUUAUCUAUUUCACUCAAAAAUUUCAUUCAUUUUAUAUAUACAUCCCAUAUAUAUAUAUUUUAUAUUUUAAUUCAAUAUUCAAAUAUUCAAUUAUAUUAGAGAUAAAUAAAAAUAUAUUAAUUAUAAAAAGCAUUAAUUAAAUAUUAAUUAUAAAAAUAUAUUAAUUAAAUAUUAAUUAUAAACAUACAUUAAUUAAAUAUUAAAUAGCAAAAUUCAAAAUAAAAUAGAGUCAUACAUAUUAAAUUAUCAAUAAAAAAAAUACAAACUAAUUUAGAUGAUCAUUUAAAUUCGUAUAUUGCUCCAACAAAUGCUAAAUUAAUGCAUUAUAAAGUGCAAAAUGAGCAUUUUUAUUCUUAAUUUUUUUAUGUCAAGCUAAAAAUUGUUAGAAUCGAGUAGUUUUAUCGACAACCAUUUCAACGGUUGGAGCUGAAAAUUCUCUAUUGUCUUUAAUAGGUGCACUAAGGUCAUGUUCAUCAUCGAUUAUCAUAUUAUGCAUGAUAAUACAUAUAGUUAAUAUAUCAUGCAAUACUUUUUUUUUUCUAAAAACGUGAUGGCUCUACAACUAUUGCAAAACGUGACUGCAACACUCUGAAAGCACGUUCAACAUCUUUUCGACAUGAUUCUUGUUUCAUUGCAAAAUACCUAUUCUUCUUUGUUUGUGGUUCACGAAUAAUUUGCAUCAGAUUUGACCAUUUUGGAUAUAUACCAUCAGUCAAAUAAUAACUCGUAUUAUAUUCUUUUCGUUAAAUAACAUAAUGAGCAGGAGGAGCAAUACUUUUAGUAAGGCCGAAAAAUAAAUGCAAUAUCGUUAUUAGAGCCAGGCAUUCCAAAAUAUGUAUGUCAUAUCCAAAUGUCAUAAUCAGCUACAACUUCUAAAAUAAUUGUUGGUGAUCCACUACGACCUGUAUACUAGUCAGUCCAUGCAAUAGGACAAUUUUUUCAUUUCCAAUGCAUGCAAUCAAGACUACCUAACAUUCUUGGGAAGCCACGUUGGUCACCAAUAUAAAGAAGCCUAGCAACAUCCUCGGCAGUUGGUGAUCUCAGAUACUGCUCACCAAAUACCUCAACGGUAACUCGAUAAAAUCUCUUUAGAUUGUCAAUUGCAGUGGACUCUCCAAUUUUCAUAUAUUUGUAGGUAGCAUCCACCGGCAAACCAUACGCUAACAUUCGAAAUACAACUGUGAUUUUUUUUUAGAGUAGAUAAUUAAAUUUUACCUACUGCAUCUCUUUAUUGUUCGAAAUACGUAUCAUGCACUUUUAUUACAUCGACAAUACAAAGGAAUAAAUUUCGAAAUAUUCUAUAUCAUCGACGAAAUAUUACAUUAUUGAAGCGUGGAUUAUCUGAAAAAUAAUUCAGAAAUAAAUUACGAUCAGCUGCUUCAUGAUCUCAAUUAAUUACUGGAAGACUUGGAACAGAGUCACCUCUAGAAACUCAGUGUUGAUCUUGUAUUUGCUGCAAAACCAUCUUAUUUCUAAGAAAUUGUUGAUUAACUGCUUGUGCUUCCACUUCAAACUCAUUAUCAUCUGAAAUAUAAUCAUCAAUAUCUAAAGAAGAUGAUGAUGAAUUUUCAGCAUCAUUAUUUGAUGUAUCUCCAACAUAGAAAUCCAUUUUAAGUAACAAUCUGUAGAAUUUUUUUGACUCGAAUUUAAGAGGAACUAGAAAAUAUGAGUUAUGUUGAUAUCUUAGAAGAAUACAUUAUUUAAUAGGAAAAUGUGGGGAUAGAGAUGCAUACCAUUCGAAGGUGGAGAUUGAGAUGAAAUCCAUCCAACGGUCGAUUUUAAUAUGAAAUCUAUCAGGAUACUGUUGGUUUAAUUAUUGUUUAAAAUUUUAUUUGACUUUAUUGAAAAAUGUGGGGAUAGGGAUGCAUACUAUCCAAAGGUGGAGAUUGAGAUGAAAUCCAUCAAAUGGUAAAUUUUAAGAUGAAAUCUAUCAGGAUACUGUUGGUUUAAUUAUUAUUUAGGAUUCCAUCUGACUUUAUUGAAAAAUGUAGGGAUAGGGAUGCAUACUAUCCAAAGGUAGAGAUUGAAAUGAAAUCCAUCCAACGAUCGAUUUUAAGAUGAAAUCUAUCAGGAUACUAUUGGUUUAAUUAUUGUUUACAUCUGACUUUAUUGAAAAAUAUGGAGAUAGGGAUGCAUACUAUCCGAAGGUGGAGAUUGAGAUGAAAUCCAUCCAACGGUCGAUUUUAAGAUAAAAUCUACUAUGAUACUGUUGGUUUAAUUAUUGUUUAAGAUUCCAUCUGACUUUAUUGAAAAAUGUGAGGAUAGGGAUGUAUACUGUCCGAAGGUGGAGAUUGAGAUGAAAUUCAUCCAACGGUCAAUUUUAAUAUGAAAUCUAUCAGGAUACUGUUAGUUUAAUUAUUGUUUAAGAUUCCAUCUGACUUAUAUAUAUUAGAAUGCCAACAUUUACAACUUACAUAAGUUAGCCAUACCCUUUAAUAUUUAAUCACUUUGUAAACUAUGACUUCAAGAUCUGUAGAAUAUUCUACCAAUGAAGAUGUGCUAUUAUGCAUAAUUUAUCUAGAUGUUUCACAAGAUCCCAUUAUAGGUAAACAACAAUCUAGUCAACGCUUUUGGAGUCGGGUGGCGUAUGAAGUUGCAAAGAAUGAGUUUUGGGAGUCCCGCAACCCACGAUCUUUUCAAUGUCGAAUACAAGUUAUUGAGAAGGCUAAAAGAAAAUUGAACGAUUGUCAUCGACAAGUUGAAAACUUACAUCCUAAUGGUGCUUCAGAGCAAGAUCUGGUGAGUAUUUAUUUGGUUAUUACUUUGUAUAUAAAUCUUAGAAUUUUUCUUAACAUUUUUCAAAUUAUACAGCUCAAUCAAGCAAAAACUUUACUCAUGCAAGAUUCAAGCUACAAAUAGAGAUUCAAAUUUGACCAUGUUUGGAGCAUGAUGAAAGAUGCUGAGAAGUUCAAAGAUAGUAGCUCUAAAAAAAAUAGUUCCAAAUCAAAGCUCUUCUUAUGUGUUCUCAGAGUCGGACAAUCCUAUUCCUGACUCACCUAUGGUACCAUCUUCAAACUUAUCAUCAUUUUCAAUUCAUUUAAAUGAGGAUAUUACAGGAGAUUAUACAUCAUCGGAUCGACCUCUUGAGGUCAAAAAAGCAAAAUUGAAGAAAAAACUUGAUGAAUCUUUUUCAUCCGCUCUGAAAUGCUUACAUGCUGAUAAUGAAAAGCUUGUGGCAUUGUUGGCGAACGCAACUGCAGAAAGGGAGAAGGGAAGGCUAAUGAAAAGCAGAGCUUUGGACUUAAAGGAAUUUAAAAAAGAAAAUAAAAUUUUACCGCUCGAUUUAAAUUUUAUUUCUGAUCCAAUUGCUCGUGAAAUGUUUCGCUAAGAAAAAAUUUGAAUAUUAGAGAAAAGAGAUCAACGUCAACAACCACCACUGUCAUCCGCCUCAUGUGUAUGAUCAAUAUCUCAAUGAUAUUGUUGGAUCCGGGUACGACCUACCAGAAUAUUAAAUAUUUAGUGUAUUGUUGCUGAUUGUAUUUUCAAUUAAUAUAUAUUGUUCAAUUAUAAUAUAUGUGUCACUCCACUUAUACUAUAUAAUAUAUUAUAAAUAAAUUAAUUUAUUAUAAAUAAUAUUUAUAAUUGAGAAUAUAUUAAUUUAAAUUAAAUUUUUAUAAUUAUAAAAAUAUAUUAAAAAAUAAAAAUAUAAUAUAUUAUGAGAGUGAAAAAAUAAGAAUCUAAUUGAAAAGUUUUUAAUAUUUAAAUAGUAAGGAAGAACUUUUAUAAAAAAGACUAUAAAGUUUUGUACUAUAUUGUAAAUUAAUAAAAAAUUAAAAAAAAUUAAAUAGCAUUGUUAUAGUGUCAUGCCAAAUAUGGCGUGAUACUGUAGCAAAACACCAAAAUCCCGCUGGAUUUUGGUGUAUGGCCUCCAACGCUAAAAUAAAAUUUAAUGCAGCGUGGGAGAUGGUCUUAGUUUGUAGUUACUUUGCUUUUGAUUAUAUCUUGUUUGUUUGAGAUUCUCCAUAUUUUUUCACUUAGCAUGCAAAUAUUUAGGUUCGAAUCGUUAACUUUGAAAGUUGAGUUAGUGGUAUGUGACAUAUUAAGUUUUUCUGAAUUAUUAAUAAAAUUCAUAUUCUUAUAAAAAAAAUGUGGGUGCAGCCGUUGGAUCAGCUGUCAUUAUUGAAUUUCAUACAGUUCUCUCUCUUUUGCAGUAAUGCUAUUUUUCAUAUGCAAAUGUGCAAUUCUUAUUACAAAUGAAAGCAGCUGCUUUAUAUAUAUAGCUCCUCUCAAUCUAUCAAGUCAUUAAUGUGAAUUGGUGGUUUUAACCCUUAAUGGAAAUAAGUAGUUCUCUUUGAAGAGAGAGUUUUGAGUUUCCUGAGGUUUAGCCUCAUCUUUUUCGAGAGUUUUUAUCGAUUCUUUAUCUUAGUAGGAGGUUUCCAUCUAUCUCUUCGGGUGGAGAAAAUUUUCUCUCAUGCUCGAUCAUUUUCUACUUUUUAGUUUUUCUUGUUGUUUGUGUUUUGAAUAGAUUUAGAGAACUCUCCUCGUGAUCCAUGCAGUGCGUGGUGGUUCGACCGAUGUGUCCCCUCUCUCUUUAUACCUGCCUUCAUAGCUUUGCAACCGUUCCGAUGAAGGCUUAUUUCCUUGCCGUGGAGUUGAAUUUUUCUAUCUUCUUUCUUGUUUGGUUUUUGGGAUAUUUCCCUAGUAUCUCAGUAUGUUUGCAUAUCUUUUUUGGCCUAUGAUUUGCGAGCUACUCGUCAAUCUUAUUUGAAGCCAACAAUGAUGAGCUUCUCCAACAACUAUAGGCGGCGGUGCUUUGCUUCCAAUCCGGUUGGAUGGGUCAUGUAUUAUGGGUUAGAGUUCUAGGAUUUGUUCUUAUGUUGGGCUUCCGUCUAUGGCCUUAGAAUCCUAUUUUGUUAUGGUUUGUAGGCCUUAGGCUCUUCAAUCAAUGAAAUUUCUUAUUAUUGAGAAAAAAAGCCAUUAAUCUUAUGUAAAUGUAUUAUCAUUAUGCAGGACUAUUAUAAAAUAUCAUCAAGUCAUUAAUUAACUCUAGUAUUUAGGGCAAUUUAAAAGGAUACAAUAGAAAGAACAUUUAUGUUUCACCUUUUAAAAUGGAAGUCUACUCUUUCAAAGAGUGAUAUCUUAGCUUUUCCAUGUAAAACUAAGCAUAAUAUUUCCCUAUUGUGUCCUUUGAUCUAGAUUUUUAAUCGAUCUUCUCGAUUCUGUAAAAUCAUUUGACAUUAAUAAUAAUUCUCGCCAAUUUGUAUUUACAGAAUCUAGAGGAAAUAAAGUAGGUCUGGGAGGUACUUGUAGGCUUUCUAAAUCUCCUUCAAGCAUCUCUAUGACUUUGUUCAUAGCAGGAUGAUCAAAAGGUUGAAACUGUACACACUAUAAUCCUAUUAUAAUCAUUUUCCUUGCUUUUAUUUUUUCUUCCUCUGUUAUGUCUUCUAUCGGUAAAUUUCCACUAGACAGUUGGUCAUGAAGCCGAUAUGGACUAUAAACUUCACUUAAACUUUCAAUAACUUUAUUAUUUUCUUUCUUCCCUCUGUCUGCUAUUUGUAACACCAAUUGUCCAAAGCUAUACACAUCUGCUUUAUAUGAAACACCCCCCAUAUUCUUGUAGAAUAGUUCUGGAGCCAUAUAUCCUUCUGUUCCCCCUUUGACGGUAAGAGAUGCAAUGCUCCCUUUGGUUGGGUAAAAUUUUGCCAGCCCAAAGUUAGAAAUCUUUGGAAUGAAAUUUUCAUCUAGCAGAAUGUUAUCAGGUUUGAUAUCAAAAUGAAGGAUUUGCAUAUCACACCCUCGAUGUAGAUAUUCAAUACCAUAAGCCACUCCAAGAGAUAUCUCAUAUAAUUUUUCCCAACUUAUCAAAAUGGAUCCUUCAAGAUCAAUAUAUUUUCUAAGAGAUCCUUUAGACGUAAAUUCAUAUACGAGAGCUUGUUUUGAUGUCUCGGCAUAAAAACCAAUUAGUUGAACCACAUUAACAUGAUGAAUCUUCCCGAGAGUAGCAACUUCAUUGAUAAAAUCUUGUAUAUUAGCUUUAGAUUUAUCCAAUAUCUUUAUUGCACUAAACUGGCCACUAUGGAGCUUUCCUUUAUAUACAGAACCAAAGCCUCCUUCUCCUAACUUUUCUUUGAAACCUCCGGUGAUUUUCUUAAUUUGUGAGUAGGAAUAUCUUAUCGGCAUAAGGUUAUUGUGACUCUGUAGGAAUUCUUCGAUUGUGUUAUAUUCCGACAUAUGUUUCCUUCGCCAAUUGAAUAUAAGAAAAACAAUUACACAUGGAAGUCCUAGUAAAGCUCUUACAAACCAAAAAAUUCCUGCAUGAAAUUUUGGAAAGCUUUGAAGAGAGACAAAUUCUUUAGUUGCUUUAAUUUGUUGGCAAAGAAAUGCAGGCGUUACUUAGCUAUUUUUGAAAGAAAGUAGUUCUUGUUUCUUACCAAUAUCAGUGAAUAUCGUUGAGUAUUCAGCCGUAGAAAAUGUACAGAAAAUUAAUGAGUGUUUAUAUUCUUAAAAAUAAAUAAAUAACUAAUUAGUUAAGUUAAAUACAUAAUUUAGCCACUACAUUUACAAAAAGUUAGUUAAUAACCUAAUCUUUUUAUUAUUAACUUUUAAUACAAUAGUAUAAUUAUUUAACACAUAAAUUUUAUAAAAUAUAGCUAUUCAACUCUUACGCGCUUAAAUAGUUUACAUAUGCUUUGAUUACAUACUUACAUGACUUAUUUACGCCUUGAAUUUAUAUACGCCCUGAAUUUUUAAGGGAGGCAUUUUACAAAAUUUAAAGGUUAAAUAAUAUAAAAAUCAAUUAUCAAAAGUUAACACGAAAAAAUCAUCGUGUUAAUUGAUUUUUCAAGUAAACUUUAAGUGGUAAAUUAUAUAAUCUCCACUUAAUUACGAUUACAUAAAUGGUGAGAAAACUUACAUUCGAUUGUUUCGAUGAUCAAACUGAUUCCAUAUAUAAACUCAUUGAAGAGUGUACUUAUACCUAUAUGAAAAUCAAUACAAAACUAUGAGUCAAUAGAAAAUAAUGAAACAAUUACAAUAAAUCGAAUUAUGUGAUCGGCUAUGAAAAAUAAAUGAAUAUAAAUUAUGAGAUUAUAGCUACUUAUAAAAUUGGGGAAAAACUAUCCAUAAUUAUAAUUUUUAAAGAUAAAUAGUAAUUUAAUUUAAAAAAAAAACUAUUGGUAAAACAGAUUGAUAUAAGUAUAUGAGAGAAGUAAAAGUGAGAUAAGAUUGUGUUUAUUUGUGAAAAAAAAUUUAUAUUUUAAAAAUAUAAAAAUUAUUUUUCUAAAAAUAUAUUUUAUUGUUCAAAAUAUAUAGACUAAAUUAUAAUUAGUAAUAAAUUAUAGGGACUAAAUAGUAGAUUUUUCAAUAGUAACCACUUACCACUGAUGCGGUUAUCAACGUCCAGGAAGAUUACCGAGCUGUUGCUUUGCCAGUAAAGCUGAAACCCAAAUGCAAGUCGCCUGUGAAUUUCAACGCAGGAUCUAUUAUUCUUGUUCUCCAAGCCCAAUUCAUGUGGAAUCAAAGAUAUCGUCUCCAAGCUGCACAAAUCCAUCAAAUCAGAUAUCCAAUUCGAUUCAUCUAUAAUCAUCGCAUAAGUAUGCAUCUUCAAGGCAGAUCCUCCAUUGAUGCAAGCAGAAUAGUCCAAGUAAGAUGGAGAGUGAACUGGACUUGGGCACUUGAUGAAACAAAUCAUACGCGUUAAAUCGGAAACCAAGNNNNNNNNNNNNNNNNNNNNNNNNNNNNNNNNNNNNNNNNNNNNNNNNNNNNNNNNNNNNNNNNNNNNNNNNNNNNNNNNNNNNNNNNNNNNNNNNNNNNNNNNNNNNNNNNNNNNNNNNNNNNNNCUCAACACUGUCAGAUUAUUUUCACAAGCAAGCUCAUAAUUGUGGUCUCCGCAAUUUUUUGGAUCAGUAUGUAAUCGAAAAGGGUAACUAAUGUUAUGGAUAUUUCCACAUGAAGAAGCUGCACACUGAUCAUUUAUUUCUGUAGAAUUGCAGGUUGUUUGGGAGAUAAGCAGGAAAAGAAAGAUGAGACUUUCUAUGAUCAUGGGAGACCAGAGAGAUGGAUACACCAUGUGUGUGUUUUCCUGCUUCAGAGAAAGAGAAAUAUUUCUGUUCUCAAUUGGCUUCCCAUAUAUGGACCAAGCAAGAAGGUGUAGUGGGCAUUUAAAAAAAAAAAGAUUAUUUAUUUCAAAAAUUUUAUACUACGCUCUGUACAUACUCGCUAAUAAUUAAGGCUCAAAUAUUUACAAUAAAUGUAAAGAAAAAGAAAAAAAGUUAUUUUUUUUUUUAAAUAAACAUUUGCACUUCAGCUUUUUAUAAAAAAAANNNNNNNNNNNNNNACAUGAUGUUUCCACUAAACAUAAAAGUUCAGAGUUUAAUUAGUAAAUUUUUAAAAUUCAAGGUGCAAAUAUAAAUUUUUUAUAUAUUUUUUUAAAUUAAAAUUUAUGAUAUUAAAAAUCAUUUAUAUUAUUAUUAUUAUUAUAAAAUUUUUAAUUUUAUCAAUAAUUUAGUAUAUCAAAUUUAUUUUAAUGUAAUUUUAAAUUAACUCACGUUUUUAUUUUUUAUUUUUGAAAUUCACACCGAUUAUUAUUAUAGUUUAAAAAAGUAUAAUUAAUACUACGGUUGGAAGUAAAAAAAUUACUAUUUAAGAAAAUAUAUUAAAAAUAAUUAUAACUAUUUUAUUAUUUUAUAUUCUUAAAAAUAGAUUAUGCGAAAUAUAAUUUUAUAUUUCAAAUUAGGAAAUAUAAUUUAUAUAUGUGGUUGAUCAUACACUUUUUUCAACUAAUAUAAUAAUAAUUAGUAUAGAUUUAAAAAAAAUUAAGAAGUAGGUUAAUUUGAAUAAAAUUAUUGAUAACACUAAAAAACUUAUAAUAAUAAUAUAAAUUAUUUUUUAAUAUUAUAAAUUUUAAUUUUGAAAAAAUAAUAUCACCAUAUUUAAAAAAAAUUAUAAUUACACUUUAAAUUUUAAAAAUUAAACUAUAAAUUUUUAAUUUUUAAUUAAUUGUAUUAUGAAUUUUACUGACUGAUAAUGAUAUAUCAAAUAAUGUAAUAAUUUAAUUAAUUUUUAAUAAAAUUCUAAAAUUUAGAUUCAAUUAAAUUAAAUAUAAAAAUAUAAAAUUUAAUUAAUGAAAUAUAAAAUAAUAAAAUUCAAUUACAAAUAAUAAAAAGGGUAAAUUUUAUUAUAUAUUAACUCUAAAUUUUAUUGUAUAUUUUUAUCGUCUUCUUUUCCUUUGAGUCAAAGUGUCCCGCUGGAGGAAUAACUCAACAUAAGUCAGUCUCUCUUAUGAAGUCACUGUCAAGUAGCGACAAUGCUAUCCCCUUAGGAUGAGAAAAAUAAAUGAAGGGAAAGUUCAUAUAAACAACCUAUAAUACUUUUAUAAUUUUUGUCAUUUCAUUCUAAAUAUAUUUGUAAUCCGACCGUUUAGUAUAAAUAAUUUUAUAAAAAAAAUUAAUAAAUUUUUAUAAAAUUAUAAAAAAAUUAUUUUAAAUUAAAAAAUCAAUUAAAUUAAAUGCUUGAAAAAUUUUUAAUUUAAAACUGAGAAAAUAUUCCAUUAAAAUAGAUUUUCAAAAACUACAUAUAAUGGUUAUACAUCACAUAACAAAAUGUUAACUACUAUUUUUAACUUAAAAUUGGAUUAACAUUCCCUCUUUAAUUAGAAUAAAAAUUUGAGAAAAAAAUGAUAAUUAAAUUCUUAUAAACUAUAUAUAAAUUUUUUACUUUUACAUGAAAAAUUUUAUAAAUUAAAAAAUUAAAAUCUUCACUAUGAAUAUAAAAAUUUUUAAGAGUCCGCCAUUUAUCCAACUGAUAAAUGCGGAGCAAUAAUAAAUAGGAUUUUUUUAUGAGUCAAUUGUUUUAUUUUAAAUUUUUUUUUCUCUCUCUAACAAAAAAACGAUAUAAUUACUAUGUACGUGAGCACUACUCAUGCACAUAUAUUAUUUAGGUGUAAAAUUUUAUAAAAUGUGAAUCUUUAUUAAAUAAAUUUUGUAAACAUUAAAAUACAUAUCUUAAUAUUUCCCUAACUUGAAAUUUAAAUUUUAUUUUCAAAAUUUCUAUAAAUUAUAUUUUUAUUUUUAAUUAUUAUUAAAAAAAAUUGGAUGUUACAUCCACAUUGUGCAUGCAUUUAUUUUUCAUUAGCAUUUCUUCUUGGGUAUUUUAUUGUUGGAGCUCAGUAAGACCCACAAAAUAAAUGAAUUUGAUGAAUUAAUAACCUAAAAAUAAAUAAAUAAAUAAAUAAGCUCAGUGAGACCCACAAAAUAAAUGAAUUUGAUGAAUUAAUAAAAAUAUAAUUUAUAUUAUUAUGGAGGAAAACAAAAAGUAUAUUAAAAAUUUCAAAUGCAAUUUUAUGAGAAGUGCUAUUACAUUAUGGAGAAAAAUUAAAAAAAAAAAAUUCUUUAAUUUCAUAGAUUUUUUAUUUCAAGAUAUUUGUACUUUAAUUUUUGUCAAAACAGUAUCUUGGUAUUGUGUCAUUAAUAAACAAUGACGAUUUUUAGAUGCCAUAAGAAAAUAACAAUGACGAUUUUUAGAUGCCAUAAGAAAAUAUUAAUCAUUGCUUAUAAAUAACAAAAAUUUCUAAGAAUAUAAAUAUAACCGCUAAAGGUAUAACGACUGAAUGUUAAUUAAUAAUUGUGAUAGGAUCUAUACUGAAUCUACCAUGAUUAAGGACUUGGAUUACAUGUUAAGGAGCAAUAUCCACAAAGGAAAAUUAAACUCAACAAAUAUUGAAGCAAAAUGCAAAUGCAUUAUCAUACAUUGAAGAUUAUGUAAAUAGGAAUAGCUUAAACUCAACAAGUUAAACACAUAGAAUUAUUACAACAUAUCAUCAAGUCAUCACUAAUUCUAUAGAGCAAUUUAUAAAGGUAAAAAAAGUUGCAGGACAUUUUACCUUCUCUUUCAACCAAACAAUAUUCUGAAUCUAUUUUACUUCGCUUGACAUUGAUGAUGAUUCUCCUUCAUCUAUAGUCAUUGAUUCUACAGGAUAUAGAACAGGUCUUGGGGGCAAUUCUAGGCUUUUGAGAUCUCCUUCAAGCAUGUCUAGUACUUUGUUCAUUGGAGGACGAUUACAAGGUUGCAUCUGUAUACACCAUAAUCCUAUUAUAAUCAUUUUUCUAGUUAAUAUAUUUUCCUCCUCUGAUGAGUCUUCUAUUGUUAACUUUCCACUUGAGAGUUGGUCAUAAACCCAGAAUGGAUAGUAAACUUGACUCAAAUUUUCUGCCAAUGCAUUUAGGUUUUUCCUUUUUCCUGCAAUUUCCAACAACAACAUUCCAAAACUGUAUACAUCUGCUUUAUAUGAAACACGCCCAAUAUUUUUGUAGAAUAACUCUGGUGCCAUGUAUCCAAUUGUUCCUCUUGCAGCUGUAAGAGAUGCAAUGCUUCCCUUAGUUGGAUAAAGCUUAGCUAAUCCAAAAUCAGAAAUUUUUGGAGUGAAAUUUUCAUCAAGAAGGAUGUUAUGAGGCUUGAUAUCAAAAUGAAGGAUUUGCAUAUUGCAACCUUGAUGUAGAUACUCAACGCCUCGUGCCACUCCAAGAGAUAUCUCAUAUAACUUUUCCCAACUCAAAGAAAUAGGUCCUUCUUGACAAAAAAUAUAAUUAUCAAGAGACCCAUUAGACAUAAAUUCAUAUACAAGAGCAUGCUUUGAUCCCUCAACGCAAAAACCAAUUAAUUUUACUAUGUUGGUAUGGUGGAUCCUCCCAAUUGUAGCAACCUCGUUGAUAAAAUCUUGUCCAUUAGCUUUAGAUUUACCCAACAUCUUUAUUGCUGCAAAUUUACCACUACGAAGUUUUCCUUUAUACACAAAACCAAAGCCUCCUUCACCCAACUUUUCCUUGAAACCUCUAGUGAUCUUUCGAAUGUCUGGAUAAGAAUACCUUAUUGGCAUAAGGUUAUUGUGACUCUGGAGGAAUUCUUCAAUAGUUUCAUACCCAGAUAGAUGCCUUCUUCUCCAUUUAUAAAUAAGAAAUGCAAUCACACAUGGAGCCCCACAUAAAGCUCUUGCAACAAAACACAUUCCUGGAUAAAAUUAUGGGAUCAUAUUCAACAAAGAGAAACUCAUUAAUUAGUUAUUGCCCUUAAAAUGUUACCUGAGAAAUGUGAGAGAUAUGCUUCCAAAAACAUAAGAUAAAGUUAACUAGAUUUAAUAUGUUACAGAUUUUCAUGGUGUCUCUUCAUAUAAAUAG